rnacentral:lncRNA from 1 species
UGUGUUUGAGUGACAUGGAAGAAAAUCUUUCUCUAAAUUGAAGCAUGGUGUCAAUGCAAUCUGAACAUACAAUCAUAACUAAUAAUUUAUCAUAAAGUUAUAAGAAAUCCACUAAUAUCAACCAUAAACCUGUAAGCAAUUCAUUAAUAUACACAAUUCAUCCUAAAGUUGAAUAAACAAACAGGGAAUUUGUAUUCCAUGAGCUCUUUAAAAGGAUCAUAUUUGCUGUCACAGCCUCACAAUCCUUUCCACACAAGGAUAAAAAAUUGAGCCUAAACAAUCCUAAUAAACUUGAUGGCGCUUCGAGAAUCAUUGGAGUGAAGAAUAGUAGGACCAUUAUUCACGAUAUUACACAUUAAGAAGUAUAAAGGUUAAAAUAAAUUAUGCAUGCCCAUGGUGUUGACCUCGUUUUUGGGUAUGAGAGAACAACAAAUAUUGGCUAAAUGAAUACAUCGGUGUGCCACUAGUUCUCAUGAUAAAGGAUAGAGAAAUUCUGGGUUCUACCAUCUUGAACUUUUAAGGACUUUUAUUAUGAGAAUACUGCCCACUCACAGAAGGCAACGGUGGUAAAUUAGAUGCCUAACUAAGCUAUAGAAAUUUUAAAAUAAAUAUAACAUUUAACUAGAAAAUAAAGAUAAAAGUUUGAUUAAUUAUGUUGGUUGGAAAAGGAUCCUUCACUAUUGUUACAACCAAAUACUGAUAAAUGUCUUGAAUCAGCUGCAAAGAUAGGUCUCAUAAAUAGUUUCAAUAUUUGUCCUUGCAAGUUUGCACUACAUGAGACACUAUUGUUAUGCAUGACAAUUAUCAUUAAUGAUUCUCACUACUUUUAUAUUUUGAAUAGUCCUACCACUCCUCCCACAUUCUAGGUAGUGGUAAUUACUAGCUAGCUACUCCUCUUGAGUUCCACUCCUCUAGGUAUCUCGUCCUGGAUUCAUAGCUCUUAUCCCCUCGCUUUAUACCCUAAUGGUCUCCUUGGGGAUCAACCCAUAUUCUAGUACUCGAUCUACACUUUUGAUACUCAGUUUGUAUCUUUGAUAUUUGAUACUUAAUCUACAUAUCUGGUACUUGACCUGCACCUCUAAUACUUGAUCUAUGCCUUGGUAAUCAGUCCGGAUCUCUGGUGCUUGAUUUGCACCUCUGGUACUCAGCUUGCACUCUUAUACUCAGUCUGCACCCUGUUACUCGGCAUGUACCGUGGCAGUCGGCCAACAUCCUUGCAUCAAUUGCGCCUUUGGUACUCAUCUUGCACCUCUGAUUCUCAAUUUAAAACUUGGUACUCGAUCUACAACUCUUGUACUCAACCUAUAGACCGAGACUAGCUCGGUCUAUAGACCAAGUUUCAAUCUGUAGAUCAAGAAAUUAGACUAUUAGACCAAGUACUCGAUCUAUAGAUCGAGAACUAGGUCUAUUGAGGUACUUAAUCUAGGAUUGAUAUCCCUCAAGAACCGCUUAUUAGUCGCCUUGUGCAAGAUAUCUUUUCUAAGGACCCACUAAUACUUGGCUUAUAUUGUGCGACUUCCUAGGCUUGCUAUUGAUUGAUUUAUGAAUCGUGAUGAUCAGUAUGGAUGUGUUGUAAACACUUGGUAAUAAUUAUAAUACAAAUCUUCACAUUCUUGGAAGACACUAAGAUUGUGAAAGGAUAUUACCCUUUAAGAAUUACUAUUUGAAGUUACUUUAGUCUACAUGCCUAUCUUCUAGGGCUUUGUAAGGCUCUAAAUCUUCAAAAACAAUAAAUCAAAAAAAUGUGCUGCUGGAAAAAAAAUUAUCCAAAAAGCUUUCCUUCUCUAUCUAUCUUCUUAAUAGAGAAGAAGAGCCCUACGCCUCUCUCUUUUUUUGGAUGGGACACCCAAGAGGAGGGGACACCCUUCCUUAUAUAGAGGAGAGUGCUGCCCCAUCUUCUCUAGUCCUACCUAAACUCUUGACUAAGAGAGGGAUAAGGAUGGGGGAGUGGCAUCCUUAUUUUGGCUAUUCCAUCUCUUGAGGCCUUCUAAGACUCUACAUCCUUAGAGGAAAAGGAGUGGGUAGUGGCUUGAUAAAGAUGGCCGGUCCCCUCGCUUAGAAAAUAUCAUCCAUAGGGAUAAUCCAUUAGGUAGAUUUAUCAGCUCAAGUUGGCCAGCUCCUACUUGAGUCCAACUCAAUUAUCCCAAUACGUCUAGGAAAGGUCUUGCUUAACCUAACCUAGCGCGAUCCUUGUAUUCAAGCUAUUUCUCUAUUCUAAUAUCUUCUCUAAUCAAACUUGGAUCUUUUCUUGAUCUAGUUAAUAAGAGAAUCCUCAAUUAGAAUGUAAUCCCACUUAAACUAAAGACAGAUGGCAUAUACUAGAUAGGACAUAGGUUCUAAUUGUCCGCUAAAUAACUGAGGUUUACACUCUGAUGGGACAUAGGGUUUUAAUAGUCCUUGCACAUUCAAGUAGAAAGUAAAAAUUAGAGGAGGAAUUGCAUAGUAUCUCUCUUCUAAUGGCUAGAAAAGUCUUGUUAAGAUCAAUCUACCGGUUGCAAUGGCCUCUGACUUGAUCUUGAUGGGAAUACACUCUACUAGAAGGUGAGACCUAAUCGACCACUCGAGGUCCUAGCUCAAAUGGUGGACUAGAUCAAUCGAUAGGGACCCAAGGUCAACUCCAAGCGGCAUACCCUACUCUAAUAUGAAAACUAAAUUAAGAGUUUUGAAAAUAGUCAUGAAAUAACUAGGAGUUAGAAAAUAGCUAGAAUUUUAGAAAAAGAAAAAAGAAACUCAAUUUAGAUCAUGCAAGGACUCAAAUCUUAACCUAAGCAUGCAUGCAUCAUAAAAGAAAUAAAGGUCUAAAAGAAAAGUCAACAAAGACAAGCUAUAAUAACAAUUGAGUUGAUAUGGGUUAGAAGACAUAGCACGGGCUUUAGAGAGUAACAAAGCUGAAGACUACCAAACUAAGCUAAAUAAUUAUGUAAAUGAGAGGUAGAUAUCAAAAAAAUCCUGGAUUAAAGAAAGCAAACAAGAUUUUAAAAUCUAAACUAAUGUAAGAUAAAGAGACAUCUAAUUCAAGGGAUAUUUAGUAGUUUCUCACCUCACUACCAAGAGGGCUUUGUUAUUGUCGAAAUCUACCCAGCUCCUCCAAAGCAUGCCGCAUACAAGGACUCUGGUAAUUGACCUUACUUUUGUCCCUAGAAUCUAUCACGGUCCCUAGAAUUAAGCAUAGUGUGCAGCAUCCACAAAAUACAGGAAAGAUACAAGGGUCUACUUAAAAGAAACUUUGAUAUAUAGAGGGUAUUUCUUGGCUUUAAGACCCUUGACAUUGAUAGGGAUGACCAGGUGCCUUCAGAUUCAACCUAAAUCUCAAAAAGAAAGUACAAAUUCAACUAAAAUAAGUUACUUUUAAUAAAAGGGUGAUUCUAGAAGAAAUUUCCAUCCGAUGUUGGACUUUAUUGCCAUCAAUGGGAUUAGAAGGCAGUUAGUUUAUCAUCGUAAGGGAACUAAAGGUGCCCUGGCUAGCAUCAGAUUUCCUUGGCACCUUAUAUAACUCAGACUUGGCUACUUGUUCUUUGGAUUGUGACUGUUUUGCUCUCAGAUAUUUUUGUAUGGUAUACGACCUACCAUUGGAUGAAGUGGAGUUGGUCUUGGACCAAGAGAUUUUGAGAAGCUUCUAGAAGGCUUUCUAUCGUGUAAAUAGAUAUGACCAUGGCCUACUUACUAUCAGACUACUUCUUAUAGUGAAUACAAUGUCGUUGGAUCAAGUUAAGAUAAAUUUCAGUUGAUUUUCUUCUGUUAUCAAGUCUUAUACCGUCAGUUGCCUUUUGACGGUAAAUACCUCAUCAACAAAUAGGUUCUGGCAUCAUGUGUACUGCCACCGAAUCACAAUUUAGCUUAUAUGGUCCAUUGAGCUGACCCAAACCCUCUAUUUUGGUUCUUGGAGGGUUUUGAUCACAAGGCCAAGUGUAAUUUGGAUAUAGAUGGCUGAAUCUAAUUCAGAAGGAUUUCCAAAUUCGAUGUGGACUACUUUGGAUACUACAAGUAGGGCUGAAUAGGAUCCGUGAGCGAUAUCUGUCCUAUCAGAAAGCCGAGUCGCAGACCCAACUUUUGAAAGUCAAAACUUGGUCCUACAACAUCCCAUUGAGAUGAUCCUUUUUUUUAAUCGAACAAUUUUUUGAGAUAUACAACACGAUGGCCCACCUUUUAGAGAGUGAUGCUUCUAAAGAUGAAGCCUAAAUUUCAUCAUUUGGUGCUUGAAAUAGGAUGAUUAAAUCGAAAGUUUUCUUUUCAGAUAAGACUUUGACCGAUGUAAGGUUUCCCCUGAUGCGACCCCUCUUGAUCAUUACUUAGAAAUCGACACUACCAUGAUUGAAGGUUGGGGCAAAUUCAAGAAAAAACAUGGGUUUGACAGGUCAAGAGGAAGACGAUGGAUUUGAAGGGCUAGAAGAAAUUUUCCCAUGUUCUUAAAGAAAUGGAGGAAUCUUGAUUUGCUUUUUUAAAUUCAAAAUUACGGGAAUAAGUAUUCAUAAUUAUAAAAUUAUUUUUGAUUUCUCUAAAAGUAGUAUAUAUUGUUAUGGUAAUAUCACUACCGGUGGUGAUCAUGUUUAAUGGUCCAAAUCUUCAAUAUAGAUACCUCAUCAUUGAUUUUAAAGCAUAAACCUUAUUACCAAGAAUUGAAUGUUUUGUGUAUAGUCCAACUCAAAUACAAUAUGUGCAUGUGUAUGUGUGUGUUUUUUAAUCCGAUGGGAACACAUAGGAUUUUAUUCAAGGUAUAGGAAUAUUUUGGGGGAUUAAAAAGUUACAAAAUAUUGGUAUUUUUAUAAUAGCUAUUAGGAUAACUUCAAAUUAGUUACGCAAGAAUAAUCUCUUUAAUUGCUUUCAAUUAUUUAUUUAUCAUGACUACUUCAAUAAUGUAGUAUGACCUUUUAUGAUUUAUAUAUUAAUAAAAUUUAGUGACAAAAAAAAAUUCUAUGAUGUAACAUUAGAAAAAUUAAAUUCUGCAGUGAUUAUUUUUGUUUUAAAAAAAUCUUUCUUAGAUAUCUUAUUUUACAAGCAAAUUUUCUUUGAAAAAAAAUAAAAUCUUUCAUUUUAAACUUGUAUAUUAUGACAAUAGCUUACGAGAUAUCGGAUCAAAUCAAUAUUUUAUGAGUAUAUAACUGCUUCUAUGCAAAUUAUAAAGCAUAAAAGAUACUCGAAUUAGAAAACUAAUGGACUAGGGCCAUUUGAGUUGAUGUUCUUAGAUCUUGUCUAAUUGAUUUGAUUUGGUUUGAUUGAUAAAAUGCUACAUGGUACUCUUAACAAGUUUGGGAUUUUGGUAUUGUGUCUUAAGAACCUAUUGUAUUCUCAUGUUAAUUGCCUUUACUGCUGGUCAGAAUCGAGAACAAAGUUUUAGUGAAUUUAUGGGAUGAUAAAAUGAAUAUUGUCAAAUAUAUUAUAUAUUUAUUUCAAAUUGUCUGUAUUGGAUUAUGAUAUUUGUUUCAACUUUUGCAAGUAAUAUUUAAAUAUAUUAGUGAUCACUAUUUAUUGCAUUAAUAAAAGGUUUUAGCUGAUAAGUGUAAUGGCACGAGUUCAAGUUCCAAAAUAGUCAUUUCGUGUAGAAAACAAAAAACAAAAUUUGUUGUUUAGAAAGCAAAAGAAGAUUAACUAAGUUAGGCAAAUAUGUCCGAUCAGAUGGUCUUUGAACAUGAUAUCCAACCAUUAUUGUUUCACAUUGCUUAUAAAGUCUAGUUGAGUAAUUUUUGAAGUUGAUCUUCAUUCAUAAGUGCUUCACAUGCUAUAAGUAUAGCUAACAAAUACUUUUUUUUGGCGGUGGACUGUAAUCUAGUUAACUCGAUUUCAACUCAGAUCCAAUCACUUUUGAUUGGAUGACGAGGGCCUGUUAUAGAUGAUUGGAACCAUCAAAUGUCAUCUACAGUCUCUAAACUACUUAUGCAACAACAAUCAUGUAAUUUAGAGCCCUAUCUAACCUAUGCACUAAAUAGUCAAAAGAUAUGUAUUAUGUUUAGUUAAAUUGUCCAAUUUUUGACUACUUGAUGCAUCGACUAUGGAUCUCCAAAAUUACAUUAUUUUUGGUGUGGAAGCAGUUUAGAUAUAGUAGAUUAUAUCCAAGAACUCAGAUUAUCGAUGUGAAACCUCCAUUUUCCAAUUAAGACCUAAUCGGACUGAGAGUUAUUUCUUUAGAUGGGUUUAUGUCUGUUGCCUAAGAAAAUGGUUGUUUGUCUGGAGAUAAGGUUGGAAGUGGGCCAGGCCAUGUGCCUACCCAAAAUCGGCCCAUUUUUUUUUGGGGGCUCUGAGAUGGGCUAAAGCUCAAAAAUUUUAGGAUAGUCCAGGCCUGAGCCCAACCUAAGCUCAAGUUCGGACUUGACCCGAAUUCGAUUGAGCCGGCCCUAAUUAUCCAUUUGGGCCAAAAAUAGGUCUGGCAUGAAUCUAAUUAAAGUUUAAUAUCUCAUAAUAUUACCUUACAAGUAAAUGAGCUAGCUGAAAAUUGGGCUCUCUCCUAUAACCUGAAUAAAUGAUAUAUGAUAUAUUAUUCUCAACUCAACUAAACCCAUUUUAAUUUAUCCUUUACUUCUUUAUUAUUCUCUCUUAAUAGUAAUAUAAAAAAAUAAAUUGAUUUGGGCUUAAAUUCGAACCUGAAUUCGAGCUUUAUUUCGGGCCUUGUCGGGCUCGGGCUUGGGUCGGACUAUUGACAUACUCAAGCUUGGCCUGAAAAAAUAAAUAAGCUCUAUAUUUAAGCCUAAAUUUCAGGCCUAAUCCAAAGUCCGGCUCAAGAUUAGCUUAGCUUGAUAGGCCUCGGGCCAGCCCAAGCCUACUUCCAGCCCUAUAUGUAGAACUUGUAGGGAACUCGCUUUUGGAUCUCAAACAAGCAGAGGGCCAAAGUAGGAAGUAUCCCUUAACCACAAUCUAACCACACUCUUCUAUAUAAUUCCCUUUCUUUUGAACUGAAUUUAUCAAGCCAUGCACCCAGUUUGGGUUGCCAUCUUUACUCGCAUGCAUGUGAUCUCAGCCAUCCAUUACCCCAUCACGCGCGCCUCACGUGCCCAUAGGCUCAUAUAUACCUUAGCCCACCCGAACUCGUUACCCGGCCUCCGCACCCGUUCCAAGUUUCUGGAUAUCGGAACAACGCACUUAUAUAUCAGCUUUGAGAAAAGAGAGGUUUUUUCGGAGCGAGUCGCAUCACCAGGGAAGAAAGAAGGCAUCAGGCGAGAAAGAACGAAAGAAGCGAGCGAGAGAGCUCUUAAAACAAAGGGACCGUUGCUUUCUUUUUUAUAUUUUUUGAAUUGGAAGCUUGGGGGUUUCUUUGGAGCUCGAGUUGUCUCGGUCAUGGCGGCCUCCGUCGAGAACCCCUUCUCCUCGGAUCACAUCGAGAAGACGAAGACCCUCAUCGGCGCCCUCAAUCUCCUCUCCCGCAAUCUCCCCCUCCCCCCUGACGUCUUCGACGCCGUCUCCUCGAUCUACCACGACGGCGGCCGCCAUGCCGCGAACGAGGAGGAGGAGGAGGAGGAGGGAGGGGGAGGGAGGCGGCGGAGCCCCUCCGUCAGAAGAGGAUACGGUAAUUUACGCGCCCUCGACCCCCCGGCCUUUUUCUUUCUUUUAUGAAUCUUUCUGCGAAUUUGUUUUCUUUUCUUUGAAAGAAUGAUAGUCGUGGUUCUUCGGAUGAGGAUCGACUAGGGUUUUGAAGAAUUUCAUUGUACGUGCGAGUUUAGGCGGAAAUUUCUUGUUUUGUUCUGGUAAUGUGUUUGAGAUUGUGCAGUAUGAAAGCUUUUGGAAUGGGAUCAGUUUACUCUUUAAAUUAGGUUGGCUGGAAUAAGCGGUUAGGGUUUCAUGUAUUGCUGAUUUGACUAGAGAGUUAUGUGGAUGAAUACGGGUCUUGUAUUUGUUAAGCAAGGUUUGAAUCUGGGAAAGGAUUGGAAUUGGAGAGAUCUGCACUUUUUUCUUAUGUGUUUGUAUGUGCGUGUAUCCAUUUAUGCGAGAAAUUUGGUCUUCAGCCUCUAGUGCUUGUGUAAGAAAUUUGAAGAACUGGGCUUAUCAAGCUACCUCACUUUUCUCUGUAUGUCACCCAAAAUGGGUUAUUCUAUUUUCUUUCCCAGUAAUUGAGGUCGUGCGGUUUUCAUUAAAUUCUAGUAAAGAACGUAUGUGGUUAUUUGUCAGAGUCUUGUGAAGGAUGCUCGAAAAAGAUCUAUAUUGUUAUAUUGAAGGGAUAGAUUUUGAGUGGGAACAAGCACGGGUGACCUUUCAAAACUUGGUUCUUUGGUAUGUGCGAUGCACAUGAAAAGAUGGUCAUGAGAGGUGGAACAUAUGUGGGAAGUGGAAUUAAUGCUUUCUUGGUGUUCCGCCCUCCAAAGUGGAAUUAAGUGUGGGCCUGGUGAGCUAAUCUCAAGUCUCUUAAAAUCUCUAGGCCCGCUUUUUUAUUUUCCCUUUUAAGCCGAGCAUAGGUCCGGAAUUACGCAGAGGCUUGUCUGAUUUUGGACUUGGCCUUUGCAUGGACUGACAAUGUGUAGAUGUUUAAAUGAAGCAACCAAUAAGAUGCACAAAGACCUUGAACGAUUUGAAACCAUACCAAGAUGAGAGCUCUCUAUGGUAUUUUUCACAUGUGAAGAUCCCAUGAUUGUACCGAAAGCACUCCUGUACUGGAUAAAUAGACCAAGGUGCUUUGAUGGUGCUCCAACGUGAUUGCCACGUAGAUAGAUUAUAUGGUUUUGUUGAUGACCGACCCUAGUCAAGACAUUCGUCUUAAUGGAAAACAUUAAAGGAAACAAUCAGGAUUUCAUGAUUAACACUUGUUUUUGUUGCAAGCAAAGUUUAAUCAGUGAGCAAUAUUUCUUCUUUUGUUAAAAUCAUUAAUGAGCAGUAUGGAACAACACAUGUUGUUACUUUCUAAGCUUUAUCAUUCUCACGUGUUGCUGUAUAUCCAUUGCAUAUUUUUGAUGCUUGCCUCCCCUUGAAUUCAAUAUCCUCCUCAUCUCCUCUUCCAAUCCUAACCCCAAUUAUGCUGAUUAUCAUCUGUUGCUGCCCUAGCCCUCUUUUCCUCUUCCCAUUUGCUAAGCCUAAACCCCUAUUAUCAGCUGGCUAGGACUGGCUUUGCUGAUAAGCUGUGCCUCAAAGCAUAUGCUCCAUUGCCAUCCUAAUAUUGAUUUGUGUCCUUGGCAUCAUCUUGGUUGUGGAUUGAAUAUGAAAUUCUUCUUUCUUCUUUGUUUUCAUUUACUUUCUUUAUAUCACCAUCCUCUUGGUACCAUCUCUGUCAAUGAAGCAUGAACAAGUUGAGCUAUUAACUUAGACUCAUGACAUGGCUUAACUUUUCUCAAAUUUUAAGUCUAAACAAGUUGCUUAAGCUUUUGAAACUCUGAGAGACAUGACCCUUGAACAGGGGUCUUAAACCUUGCUGCAAACAUGAGCCAAGCUCGAGGUAACCUUGGAGAUUGAGUUGAACUCUAUCUAAGCCCUAGCUUGCUCAAGGUUGGCUGACUUACACCUAUCUGCAUUUAUAUAGUUGUAUAUACCUGCUUCUAUGUGAUUAUAUGCACAUUUUGCUGUAUGCAGAGGAAAUGCACAUUGCAUGCUAUUCUGGCCAAUAAAUCCUAAGAUAUUCAUCUCUAAGUAUGUGCUAUCUUAACAAUUUGCUUCAUUAUGAACACAUGGAAUCGAAAUGGGCUGCAUAUCUAAAAUGAUAUAUUAAGGUAAAAAAAUAUAUGUAACUAGGAAGCUUGAUAAAUAACAUGAUCCAUAUGGAGAAUGUAUUAGGAAAUUUGAAAUCUUUUUUGCUACAAAGCUGUACUUUUUUUCUCCAUGAUUCUGAUUAAUAUAAAUUAAAUUAUUUCUUUAUCAAAUAACAAUAUAAAUAUGUCAGAUGCAUGAAUUUUGAUUAAUUUUUAGUAAUAUUUGGUAGAUCUUAGAAUAUAUGUUUGGAAAGUAAUCCUUAUAGCUAUCAUCCAGCGAUAUCACCUGAAAUCAGGUGUUCAAAUGAAGUAAGUCGUCGUGUCUGACAUAGGCUGAAAGAGGUUUGAGACAGGUAAAUGUUUGGUUGCUCGAGGCUUUGGAAAACUAAAAUUUGGAAAAAAUGAUUUUCUGACUGUACGAAUGGUUGGAAACUUAAAUAAUAGACAUGGAUUUUCCAAAUUCGGCCAGAUAUUUUCUUUUCUUUGGAAAAACUUUUCUUUUUUCUCUUUCAUUUGCAUAGUUUUAUGAGCAACGAAACAUACCCUAGGUACCUUAUUUCUUACGUUGUUUUAUCUUUGGAGGUCGCAAAACCAAGACACUUCAACUCUGAAAGAAUUUUAAGACCAUGAUGGCCGGGUAUGAUAUGGUUGUAUCAUGGAAACUUUUCAUUUUAAUCUAUCUCAAUUCUUGUGAGUAGUGCCUAGGUGUCCUACUAGCAGCUUUGCAAUAACAGUUAUUGCAAUAGUAUUUAUUGCUGCCUGCUUAAUCUUGGUGAUAGUAUUUAUUACUUUACUUUUAGCCUCUUGCAUACAAGAUGGAGUCUUCAUUCGAUAUUAAUGUAUGCUAUUGUUUCUCUUUUGAUUUUUAGUGUCACAUGUCAUGUCUAUGUUGGUCAAGGCUCUGCGUGGAACAUUUAAAAUAUUCUUUUGAAGGUUAACUUGCCCCAUUUAAUAGAUUAAUUAUAUGCACGCUUAAAGUAUUCUGAAUAAUUAUGCCACAUUUAAGGUUAAAAUAUCGAGAUCCAAUGUUGUAGUGAUGGGUGCGAGGUUGCUAUUAGGAUUAGAGCAGCAUUUAGUAAGUAUUAAUUUGGUAUUGCAUUUGUGCUUAUUUUGAGAUUAAAACCAUGAAUUUGAUUAAAAAAAAGUGAACUUGACGAUCUGAAAUUAUUGCAAGACUAUAGUUGUAUUUGGGAUGAUGGAUGUGAGAUAAAUCUCAAGAAAUCUAGGAAUUGAGUAAUUUAAGACAAGAUUAUGAUAUUUGAUUUAUUAGUGAUUCCUUGUGAUGGCACAACUCAAAAUUAGAAUUACUUUUGGUCAAAUUCUUAUAAGCUUAUUAAAUAAAGAGGAAGUAUAAAUACCCUCAGAUAUGCAAUUUUGUCUAUGGUAAAUGCAAUUUUCUUGAGGUGGACCCUUGGUUGGUGUUCCCCACUAUCUUUUACCCUCCAACAUACAUUUAAGUUUCCUUUAUUAUAUCUACCUUUGGACUUAGAUUUAAUGGGCAUCGGGUCUAGUCGGGGCCGAUCGGCUCAAGGAGGAAAAACAACAUACAAAACCUUGACCCAUAUCUGAUCCAACUUGACAUUAGGUCAAGUACCCUCAACCCAUACCCACCCACAGGUCAUUUUGGGUCACCUAUUUGACCCUGAACCAGUCUAUUUUACAAAACUCAAUCCCUAAUGGACACUAACACACCAAACCAAUCCUUCAGUUAUUGGCUCAUUUCAAAAUGAUUUGAAAAACUAGUAUUAAAUUAAAAGACAAACCACUCAAAAAUUCUUGCCCAAGAUAAUAACUUAACCUGACAUAAAUUGUUCCAACCUGAAUAGAACUCUACCCUCAUGACCUAAGUAGGGUAAAAGCCUAACCCAACCUGACACAUUUAAUGUUCGUGUCAGAAAAUUCCAUACCUAACCCUAACUAAGAAACCCUUAUCCCAAACCCAACUAAAGAGGGUCCAAUCGGCUUGGGUUUCUUGUCGGUCAUUUUUUGCCACCCCUACAUAGACCAUAGUGCAAAACAAUGUAAAUUGGUGCCUUCGUUUAGUGGUUUGCUUAUUUUUCCUGGACUUUAGAAUUCUAAAGUAGCUAUUUGUUACAACUAUUCAUGUAACUUUAUACGGUUGUUUGUUGUGGUCCACUUGACAAUGCACUAGGAUAUUGGUGCAAUAGUUAAUUUUCGGUUUGACAUGUAUAGACAGGGAGACAGUUAUGCAUCAUGCCUAUGAGGCCUCAAUAAUUUUCUUAUCUAUUAUGAAUUUUCCGAGUCUUCACUAGUUUCCAUCAGUAGUUUUAUGUUUGUUGGAAUAUUUUUUGUGUCGUCCGUAUAUAGUUUCAGAUUUUGUAUGUUAAACUCUAACCAUAAUGGUCCAUAUUUGCUUCUGCUCUUAGCCUCUUAGAUAAACCCUAACGCACUUGAUGGUUUCACCAUCCUUCUUUGUCAAAAUUUAAUGCUUAGGUAUUAUACAUAUACAUAUUAUAUUUGAUGCUACUAGGGUGUUAAGUUGAAAUGCUAUGUUAUUAUUAUUGCAAGUCUCAUCCAAGUAUUUAUGGAUCGGCCUCCUUGUCUUGGUCAUAUGUAUACGAAUUCACCCUAAGAUUUGAUUAGAAGUGGUUUAUCCUUUUUUGAAUUUUUAAUUAUACAUCAUUCUCGUGCAGAUUUAUGGGGUUUCAACCAGUGAUAUUUUGGUAAAGGAGCUUGAAGAUGCAUUACUAAAGCAGCAAUCGAGUCGCACGUCUUGUUCAGUAUUGGAAAAAACAAAAGAAAGCCGUUAUAAUGGUCUUAUUCAGCAUCGACUUAUGGAGCUUGAAGGUUAUAUAUUCCUCUUUAAGAAUAUGUGUGUUUCCUUUUCUUCUCCACUUAGUUGAGUAGGUUAUGCUAAGCAUGUUUGCUUGGGUCUUGUUGGAUAAUGUUUAGUUUAUUUUAAUUUUUCAUGAUUCAACAUGAGCUGGUCUCUUAUAGUAAUGAUGCAGUGCUAUAUUUACUAUCUUUCCUGUUGCUCUAGGAUAACAGUUUAUCACCUAUUAUCACACAGUGAUAGAACUACAUUAUUUGUCAGAUAGCCAUGUGGUAAAACUUAUUAUUGUGUAGAGUUAUAUGCUAUAAAUUGUUGUUGUUUUUGGCUCUUGUAGAUGCCAUUUUUUCCUUUUCUGGUUCAUGUUCACUUCGUUAGCUUUUGCAUCCUCCUAACAAUUGGUUGGCCGUUGUAGAGAUUUCUUGGAUCAACCUUUAGCCUUUUGUAUUCUUUUCCCUUCUUUUGGAAAUUUAAUGCUUAAUCUUCAUUUCGCCCCAUUAUGCAUCUCAUCAAUCUUUAGCCUUUCCAGCUUUGGUCUUUGCUCUUUACAUUCUCUCCAUGUUCAAUCUAUUAAUCUAUUUCAUUCAUGAUUGUCAUUGGACGAAGUAUGUUAAUUAUGUGAGUAUGUUGUUUCUUUUUUCACACCAUACAUUCAUCUUGAUGUUGAUAAGAUGAUCCAUCUUAAUGUUUUAACCCUACACCUACCUCGCUAGCUACAUUUAGGAUUUUGAAUUUGGAUGUCUUCGGUCUUCAUUUGUGUUUUCUACCUUGAAUUUUGACUGGUAUAAAUUUCAAUUACUAGUGAAUUGUUUAGCAGAUAAAAUUACAAAUAAGAUUAUCACUUUCCUGUUUUGCCAUUGGAUUUCUUGCUUGCACAUAGCCUGCAGGAAAUGAGGUUAUCUCUUGGGAUGUUUGUGCAAUAAGUUUGAACUUUUUGAUUUCUACUUGUGAGCUAACAUCAUUUUGUUCAGCAUUGAGUGGAUUAUUAGAGAUGUUUGCACCCUUUCCAAUCACUUGAGGAACCUUGAGACGAGGGACUUUUACCUUAACCAUACUUUAUCACUAAGUUGAAUGAAGCAAUGACUUGAUGAUUAUUGAGAUCUACUAGUUCUGAUGCACGGACAUUAGUACUUCCAUCCACUAGCCUCUUCUUCUGAAUUUGAUUUGAUAUUCCACUUUCUGCAAUUGACUUUUAGGAGACCCACAUGUGCUCCUAUCUAGCCAUUUUGCCUAAUCCAUUCGAAAUUAUUCUUGCCAUAGCAUCUCACCAACCACUAUUCCUACAUGUUUGGCAAUUGUUUCUUUUUUUUCUCAAACAUAUGGGCCAAGAUAUUAUGUUUGAAGUGGCCGGGGAAGUACCUUAAAACAUUUUCCUAUUGUUGUGUCUUGUGAGGCGCUCCUCCAAUCCUAUUCUUAAAGUCCAUUGUGUUAUUACCUCUUAGUUUAAUUAGCAUCUUAAACAUGUUUUCUAGACAAUGGUUGCCCUCCUAGUAUUUCGUUUGCCAUGUCUGCAUGCUUUGGUACUUUAUUGGUCUAUUUGCUUGACAUUGAUAUUACAUAUUUAACUUCCAAUGUUUUUUUUAUAUCUGCUAAACAUACAUACAUACAUAUAUAUGCGCGUGUGCGUGCGUGUGCGUGCGUGUGCGUGUGUAUUCUUUUAUUUGCUUUAGACUUGCACUAUAGAUUAGUUUCUUUUGCGCGUCUUUAAGAAUUAAUCUGUUACUUUUUGGAUAAUUGUACUCGAUCAACUCUUUUUGUGUUUUAUACUCCAUGAUGGAUAUAAUUUUUGUUAUGCUAUGCUAGAAAUACUAAUUGUAUGGAGUUUCAUGGUAUGUAUACAUACAAAUGGUGUGAUAGUUAAUACGUAGCUAUUAUGUGUGCUUGUGUAUAAAAUGCAUAAUCUUUCCUAAAUGGGAUAUUAUCUUACUCCUAUACUUUGUCUUUUUUGGGCUUUGUGGUUGUAGUGCAUGGAUUGUCUUUUUCUGCAUAGACCAUUAAAUUAGCAUACUUUUUUCCUUGAAGGUUUUUUUUCUAAUUCAGAAUCAUUUAUCUCGAGUUUUCCCUAAUUCAUAAUUUUUUUACUUUGUAGUUUUGAGAUACUUCUAGUAGGUCUUUGGUUGUUAAAGAUAUGAAGGUGAAAUAAAGCUAUUAGGAAGGAAAAACACACUUGUGGUAGUUACAAAUUCAUAAUUCUAGUAUCAUAUCAAUUUUUUCAGUGCAACCGAGCACUCAUUCAUAAAUAUUUAUGUCAAUCAUGAUUCAAAAUCAUAAUUUGAAUUUUCAAUGCAUCCAAGUACACUUAUUCAUAAAUCUAUCAACCUCCUUUCUUGGAUUGAAUUAUUAGUGCCUCUCUUUGGACCAAUUAAUUUAGUGGUACCAGAUGCAGAAAACAUUACAAGCUGAAGACUUUUUGCUAGGUUGAUGCUGUGAAAAUCUUCAGGUCCAGAAUGAGUUUUAGAUUUGUUUGCCUCUUUAGAGUGAGCUCUGUUUGUUUCUUUCUUGGUGCAUUACAAUUUGACAAUCUUGUAGCACCCUUUAUCUUUAAUCUGAAUAGCUGUUGGAAGUUGUUUCCUCAGCGGUCAUGUAGUUCCAACUAUCCAAAGAACAAUGACAUGUUCAUACACAUUAUAAUGAUCCUUCUUGUCAUCCAAAAGAUAAAUCUUCAUUAUCAAGCUUCUGGAAAGUUCUUUCGAAUCUGUUGAUAGAAUAUCUAGCUAUAUUUGUCUAGUUUGAUUUGUUGAUGAGUCAUUUCCAUCUAAAUACUUCAAUGAUUGUGCCUUUCACCCAUUCUCUAUACUUAGUCUGAGCCACUGUAAUCAUCUUAGAGCCUACCUUUUACCUGUUAUCUAUACUUCCUACUAAUAAUUACUUAAUCAUUGUUGCUUGAUUAGACUUCUUGAAUUUAAGCUAGGUUCAGGUGCUAUUCCAAACUGGGCUAGUCUAUUUCCCUUUCAUCAAAUUCUACGGCUUCUUGAAUUUGCCCUCAACUUCCUGGGCAUCCUUGAGAUUUCUGGUCUUUAAUGUGCACCUGCAUAUUAACUUGAACUUGUGAUUUAAUAUGAAUAAUUUGGGUUGUUCUUGAAGUGAAUGAUGCAAUUCCACAGUGUACAACUUCUCCACUUUCCAAUAAGAGGUAUGCAUUCUUAAAAUGGUAGCAAAUGAUUUUCAUAUUUGAUAGCACAGGCUUGCGUCAUUGGAUGGCAGGAAAUAGUGGUUUGAGAGCCAAAGGUCAAUACUCAGGGACAAGAUGAUCUUUUGCAUCUGUCUUCUGAGCUGAUCAUCCCAACCAAUAGGUUAGGUGGAUCAACCAUCAAGUUCACAUUGAUACGUGAUCUAUAGAAAAGCACUUGCCAUUCCUUGGUUAUUAGGUGCGUCUUUGAAAAUUUCUGUGUUGAAGUACGACAUUCAAAUAAGUUUCAAAUUAGUAGAUGAUGCUCAAUAUAUUGGUGGUCCCUUUGGUAAAAUUCUAUGUAUGUGAUGCCCUUAUUAAAAAGGAAAAAGUUUAGUUUCCAUUCUCUAUAGAAAUCUGAAACCUCAAUUUCUUAUUCCAUAUCAAAGUCUGGAUUUAUAAUUGAAAGGGUUGUUUUGUCCACAAAAAUUGUUAGGUCUCUCAACCAUGGGGGUUUUGAAAACUAAAAAGAGUUUAUAAAAGCUAUAUGAGGAGAAUUGUGUGGAAGAGAUGUUACCACAUCAUGAGGUCCUUGACAUGAAGUUUGAAAUUCACCGUUCUUUUUUAUUUUAUUUGCCAUUGGCUUAUCUUGAUGUANNNNNNNNNNNNNNNNNNNUUUGCCAUGAAUUGAGGAACUGUGGGUUGAUGUUGCUUGAACUGAUAAUGGAGAGUUUUUGCUCCCCCAUGUACCCAUCCUUCCCAUUAAGCUAAACACCGGCUAUGUUGGGAUAAAACCUUAUGAUGUUGAAGUAUUUAACUCAAGGUUUGCCGUCUCGAUACCGGACCUCGUACCAGUGCCACACUCGCAUAGUAUUGGUACGGUAUGGUAUGGAGUUUUUUUGGCAUACCAAGUGGCGGUACUUACCCGUAUUGGUACCAGCACCGAACUGGUUCGGUAUGGUACACCCGGUACCAUCCGGUUUUGUACGGUACGGCAUACCAUGAUUUCAUCAUGGUUGUAGGCUGCAACCAUGAAUCGAUAACAGUGAUAUCUUCUAAUUCUUGAUGAUAAUACAUAAAAGAUGAUUGUUUGUUGCUUUGGUAAUGACUGCUGCUGGUCGGUAGGAGCUGAAUUUCAAGAGGAAGAUCAUGAAUACUAUGAUGGAAGAGAAGGAGAAAGAAGAAAGAAUAUAUUGAGCCUUAUCAACUUUAGAUAGUUACGAACUUAAAACAUAAAAUCAAUUUUCAGCAUACUGUUCUUCAAACCAACAACUAAGUUCUUUUCUGGUACAAAGUCCAAUCUUACUUGCUCUAUUUCCCAUGCAUCAAUCAAUAAGACACUUGAUCUCUGUAUUUCUUAUUUCUUAAGCAAAAUGGACUAUAAUUAAUGUAGUUGACAUCCCACCCUCUUUCUUUAAACUCUAAAGAUCUACCAUGAAACUUCUACUAGCAAGUUGAAGCUUUGUUUUCCCUAAUGUUAGAACUUAGCAAACACAACAAACAAUUAAUAACUAAAGGGUAAAGGUGUAAAGCAGGGUGGUCAUUAGGAGGGUUCAGAAAGAAUUUGAUUGGAGAUAAACUCUGAAAGCAGUGUGUGGGUGCAGGGGCGGGUGUAGCAAAGUGGAUCCAAGAAUCAAAUUGUGAAAUGUAAAUCGAUCAUCUGAGGAGGCAGAGCCUCUUGUUUGCUCAUCAACAAUGGCAUCAUUUUUUACGGUAUGCAGGACAAACCCUGACAGAUGUCAAAGAAUUUUUCUCAAGGGUCAUCUGGAAGGUUUCAAUUGCACUGAGUAUAUGAAAUUGUUCAUCAAUUAUCAUUCAAUCCCCAUAAAUAUCCUCACUUUUCUGGAGUUUCACAUAUGAGUAGGCAUAUUUCCUCUGCAAUUAUGCUAUAGUUCUUCUUAUGCUAUCUAUUUCUGUGACUUUCCAACUCACAAAUGUUUACAGUUCCAACCACUUAUUAAUGGAAUUGUACGAAGUGAGUACGGUAAAGAAGUUUACUGAAAUAAUAUAAAAUGUAACAAGUGAAGCAAAGUUCCUUAAAUCUUCUUUCUAUCAAAUAACUGUGCUUUUACUUUUGUACUAUAUGUAUUGCAUGCUUGCAACUGUUGCUGUCCAACUAGUUCAUUUCUUAAUAUGACUUGUGUAUGAAUCAGGGUUGCCGUCUAGUCAGGGUGAAGACUUGCAAAUGAAGUGCUUGCUCGAACUCUAUGGUUUAAAGGUAAUUGCACAAUCAAAUGAUCAAACAAACUUGCUGCUUGUGUGUAUAUGUUAAGUGAGCUUAUAUUCAUCAAGCAACCAGAAAUUUUGGUUUUUCAGGAGCACUUAUGUACUGAAAAUCUAGGAAGAAGGCACUUAUUAUUUUGAUAUGUAUUUUUUGCUGUUACUUUGUUGAUCAAAUUUCAAUCUCACUACUGAAUUUGUUAAGAACUGUUUUGAUUAUGUUAUUUGGUUUUGCAUGCAGGUUAAUGUUAUUAACUGAUCUCAAUUUUCACUGCAAUGCUUGUAACGUUUGUAUUGAUCAGAGCUUGGCACAGGACAACCCAAUAUACUAUGCCUUGUCAUGUAACCUUUUGGCUUUUUGUGGCUCUGACAGAUGGAUGACCAUAUAUGCUAGGGAUUUCUUUUUUCACCCCUCUAAAUGCUGCUUUAUGGUGAUAAACAACAUGCUUUGGACAUUUAUAAGUCAUGUUUGAAAACAACUCUAGCAUCUUUUGAACUGAAUAAAACAUGUUAUCCAUUUAUCUAGUGAUGAGAUUAACAGGAAACUGAAAAUUUGUAUGUGAAUUGAUACACUUGUUUAUUAAAAGCUAUAAUUGUAUUUUUGAAAUAUAAACACUUAAGAAACUAUUAUUUCCUGUUGGUCACUAAAAUAUUACAAAAGAUAGCGAAAAUAAAUUUUACAUGAUAGGCUAGUCCAUGGGAUUGGUAUGUUAAUGCAUUCUUAUAACAUGUCAAACUUGCAACAAUUUUGGAUCGGUUUAUUUUGAUCUUAUGAUUUUUUUUUGACUCCCUAUUCUUUAAUCUUUAUAUGCUGAUCUGUAUAUUCCAGAUUUUCUACAAGUCCAAGGAUUUAUAAUAUUUGACUAGUUUGAACAAUUGAAAUUCAAGAAAUAUCAUUGCAUUCUACUAAAGAAACAUACAAAGCCAAAGCAAACCUUGCCUAUUUGUUUUAUUUCUUGAUCCUUGAAUGAAAGUUUUUUCCACUUAAAAAUCAAUUUGAUUCAACCUUUUUCCUAUUGGUAUGAAAAAAUGGCAUAAAUAAUCUCAAGGUCAUCUUGAAACUCAAUCAAACAAAAAAAAUGAGCUUGGAUUAAUUUGGUAAGGCUUAAAAGUUACUAUUUGCCGACAACUUUUAUUGACCCAUGCAUCUGUAUAUCUUAUUGAUCUAUCUGCAUUGGUACCAUAUGAUGUUGGUCAUCAUGAACCUACGUAUCAAAUAUCACUUUGUUUGUCUUGUAUGGUAUGCAUGUCUUGUGUUUUUGAUACAUCAAACACGGCACAAGAGGCCUGCAAAUUUUAUGAAUGGAUAAAUUCGAUAUACCAUAUGUGCUAAGGGAACCUUCUUUUUCCUUAAAAUGUUCUCUAUCACUCUACAUUUCUAGGGUAUCUUUACAGAGAUGAAUAUACAUGUUUUGAAGCUUCAAAAUACAGCUCUGAUGUUGAAAUGUCAUUCAAUAUGGAUAAUUCUUUGAUGAGGCCUUAGAUAAACAGAUUGACUAUUUAAGAUAAUUUAGUAAACAUGUAUAAACAUGUUAUGAAACUUUAAAGAUAAAAACAUAUGUUGAUAUUUAUAAACACAUUAAAAAAAAUAUAAUGUAUAAUUGAUUUUGAAAGCUUGGAGCACUGCAUGGAAUCAAUAAUAUGAAUGAUUGCUUAAGAUUUAUUCAUGAAGCAGAACCCAGAGAGUUGGAAUAGGGCUGGAUAGUUUUGGUUAUAACUAUCAUGCGUUAUAUAAUUCUCUGGUAUGUGUUGUUAUAUCUACCUCACUGGAAAAAGAAAUAACCUCACGAUAAAUACUAAAACACAAAUGAUUAAAGUUCAGAUGACUAAGGGAAGAAUUUUCAAAUGUUAUGUUUUCCAUAUGUUUUCCUCUAUGAGAUACUAAUUUUUAUGUUUUGUAUUAUUAAGUAAUACUUAUAUUCUAGCAUUUUAAUUUAUAUGCUAAUAAAGUAAAGACGGAUAUUAAGUCGAUAAAUACCUCCCAAAGUGGAUAGUCCGUUUUAUGCCAAAGAUCAUUGGCAUGCUAGGUUUUGAUUAUCUUGCAUCAUGCAUGUAUGGGUCAAUGGUCGGCAAAUUAUAUGCACUAGGGUCAAAUCUCAAAUUACAUCCACAGUGUACCAUACACUUGGGUCAUGCUUGAAACACAUUACAUAGAAAAUCAUUCAAAAUUUUGUAGACCAAUCAAUGGAUACCAAGGUCGGAGGAACCGGUAUCGGGCACUGUACCGGUUCUCCGGCGGGACGACUCGGUAUGGGCUGUACUGGGCCUGUACCGAGAGAGAUUAUCGGUAUUGUAAGAGAGAGAAAAAGAGAGAGAGAAGGAGGAGAGAGGGAGAGAGGCUGGUGGAGAGUGGCGGACGCCAGUGGAGGGCUGGCGGUGGCUGCAGGGGGCGAGGCCGUGGUUGGUUCUCCUAUUUCGAACGAAACUGGGGUCUGGCUGCGGCUAAAAAAUUUCGGAAUUUUUAAGUGAAGUCGGCAAAUCGCUUUACUUAAACAUUAUGAAAUUUUUUAACCGCAGCCGGACCCUUGUUUUGUUCAAAACAGGAGAACCAGCUGCAACCUCGCCCUCCGCGGCCACCGCCAGCCCUCCGUGGCCCUCCGCCGCCCCCCGCCACCUCUCCCUCUCCCUCCCUCGCUCGCUCUGUCUUUCUUUCCUUCUUCUUCUCCGGCUUCGGCAACAAGUCUCGUUUCUGUUGCCGGAACCAUAUUGGUGAGCCACCGGUAUGGCUCAAAUCGGCCGGAACCGCCCGAUUCAGGACAGUUUCUCUGACCUUGAUGGAUACUCUAAUGUAGAUAUGCUUUACCCAAGCUUGGAAGUGAUUAACAAACAUAAUUAAAAUCUCACUUUAUACUCAAAUAUUCUAAAAUUAACUUGUAGAAUUAGUUCUGUUAUAUAUGAAUUGCCUUUUCUCUAGAACAUCAUUGAAGAACACAUUUUUACAACUACAAACAAAAUAUUGACAUUAAAAUCAACAAUUAUUAAUAAAAGCAAACAUUGGAGAAGCAUAAGUUAAAAAAAAAGUUGUUUGAUUCUAAAAUAAUAUUAAUCGACCAACAUAUGUUGCUUUUAAUUGUAGCAUAUAUUUGGCUUAUGCAUGAUAGUACAAAGUCUCAUACUGGGUCAGUAUGUAGUGAGACUAUGUAAUCUUAAUACGUAGGUUUGCAUUGUUUUGGUGAAGCCGUGACACUAUCUAUCACAUGAAACAGUAUGGUAGUUGAUUUAUAUGGGGCCCAAGUUAAUUAUUUAAGUGCUACUGGCAUGUGAAUGCUAAUCAGUGGCUGGUGCUACAUGGCACAUCACUUACCAUUCCUCAUCAGAAGGAAGUUUCAAAAUAAAAAAAGGGGAAAGAUUUAAGCAAGCCUUUUUUUAUAGUUUAAAAUUUAGAAAAAAAAGAUCAAUGAGUGCUGUGCUGACCUAGGGUCAGUGCUGGUAUUGGAAGGCCUGGCACUUGAAACCUUGGCACAAAUGUGGUCUCGAUACCCCAUGUUGUAAUUGUUUGAGACUUUAGCACGUAGGUUGUUAGUAAAACCUUCUUGCUGAAACUUGUGAUGAGGAGUUUGAUUACCUCUGAUGUACCUGAAUCUUUUUUCUUCUUUUGCACUUAGAAAAUGACUGGAGUUUUCCUUAUGACUAUCUUUUCUUUCCCCUCCAGUUAUUAGAAUUACAGAGGAAGGUGCGAUCUGACGUGAGUGCAGAGUACUGGUUACAUGAGAAAUGUGCAUAUCCUGACAAACAAUUGUUUGACUGGGGAAUGAUGCGACUGCGAUAUCCCUGUAACAUGUAUGGUAUUGGAGAUGCUUUUGCAAUGGAAGCUGACGAUCAUCAGCGGAAAAAAAGAGAUGCAGAGGUUAUUUGUUGCCAUUUUCUCUUGUACUAUCCUAGAAUUCUGCUAUCAGCUGUUUUAUUUGAAAGAAAAACUACAACUUUUUUGUUGCAAUGUUCCUCAUGGCAGAGGUUGUCAAGAUUAGAAGAGGAGGAAAAGAACCGAGUAGAGACCAGGAAGAGGAAAUUCUUUGCAGAAAUUCUUAAUGCUGCUCGUGAAUUUCAGUUGCAAGCACAAGCUGCUCUGAAACGACGUAAACAAAGAAACGAUGGAGUUCAGGUGUGAUUGCAUUUAUUUUUUUGAUGCGUUUUAAUUGUUUUGUUCCAUCAGACUGUUAUUUGUGACUUAAGAAACUCAUCUACUGUUCUGUUAACAAGUCUGAUAUGGCAAAGCCAUGAAUCACUGCAAAAUUUUUGAGUGUAUGUCAGUAUUAUGACGUGUGUUGGUUUAAAAGGGGGCAUAUUAGCUUGAUCUGUUUUAUGCCUCUAAUGACCUAACAUCUUUGCUUUUAUUUUAAAGAAAUUUUAAGUUCCCCAAGAAACUAUUGUUGCUUUCAAACACUUUGACUAUUAAGAUUUUCUUUUGUAAGUCAAAUUGUGGAAAGAUUUAAUUGGGAUUUUUGCAAUUUAGGCAUGGCAUGCAAGGCAAAGGCAGCGUGCUACACGUGCAGAAAAAUUGAGGUUCCAGGCACUAAAAGCAGAUGAUCAAGAAGCAUAUAUGCGCAUGGUAGAAGAGAGCAAGAAUGAACGCUUAACAAUGCUCCUUGGGAAAACAAAUGACCUUCUUGUUGGUCUUGGAGCUGCCGUUCAGCGGCAAAAGGAUGCAGAGCAUUUGGAUGGGCUUGAAGCUCGUAAAAGCUCUGAGUCUGAUGAUCCUUUGCAGAUCUCAAAGAGCGAAACUCCAGGCGAGUUGCCUUUAGAUGAUGAUACAGAAGUUGUUAAUGGAGAUUCUGGUCCAAAUGUGAAGGCUAAUGAUUUGCUUGAAGGACAACGACAGUAUAAUUCUGCUGUCCAUUCAAUUCAGGAAAAGGUAAGUGCUCCCCCCCCCCCCCCAAAAAAAAAAAGAAAAAGAAAAGAAAAGAAAAUAAGUGCUAUCUUUAUUUUUGGCACUUCUAGCAGUAUGAGUACUUUCAAUUGGUUUCUGUAGGAUCUAAUAUAAAUUUAAACCCAUGUCCAAAAGUUUAAGCUCUCUCUAUACUCUCUAUAUAGUGAUUAGUGCUGUUUUUUAAUAAAUAAACUCAAGUUUCAAAUCACCAGUGGGAGUUAAAUGUAUAUCCAAGAAUUGAUGGAUUACGUUUGUUUUUGUUGUUUUGGUGCAAAGUACAAUGUCAGUGAAAUUUAAACAUUCUUGGAAAAAGAUCAUUUUGAUGCUGUUUCUGUCCCAAUAUUGUUAAUUGCAAAUUGACAUUUCUAAAUUUCCAGUCUGAAAUUGUAACCAUUGUUUUGUAUAGGCAAGGUAUUAACUACAUGGCAUAAUGAUAAGAAGCAAUUUUUUCUACCUUAUAUUUGAGCUUAACAUUAUGGGUUCUCUCAAUUUGUUCUUUCUCACUCAAGAUAGGCUUCUUUGUUUUCCUUCUCACUGUUAUUUAGAUGUAUCAAUUUUCUUGUUGUUUAUAGUCCAGUACACAAGUCUGAGCUCUAAACCUUAAUGGGCUGCUUCUUGGCCUUGAUAGAUGUGUUUGGACAACCUUAAGGAUACCUAUUCACUUAUCUUUUAGUGUUGCAAGUUGUUAACUUUCACUAGCGCUCCCGAUUUCUACCUUUCUUUAUUCUCACUAUACAAAAACUGUCCAUCUUUUUUUCUUUCCCUUCUCUGUCUUUCCUGAUAUUUGACCAGUUGGAUUCUUCAUGUCAAGGUGUUAUGUAUAUGCCUAUGAUUGCUCAUUAGAGAAAGCAGAUAAAUUGUGGCAUGAACAUCCUCCAGGACUAGACUGGAACCAGGAUAUUAUAGAAAGGAAAUGUUGGGGCUUAACAUAAUGUUUUUUUUUAAAUAAGAUAAAUACAAAUGGUUAUUUGUAGAUUAAUGUCAAUUUCUUUGUUGAUAAGAAAAUCUGUAAAAAUUUGUCGGGAUUGUACCGCUACAUUUUAUCAUGAUUUAGCAAUCAUUCAUAAUGGUUGGAUAGUUUGAGUUCUGAAAUGGUCAUUUUUUUUGAAUGUUUAUAUUGAUCAAUCUAUAUUGUAGAUAACCUAGAUGCUGAUUCUAUGAGGGAAUUCAGGGGUGAGAACUGUCCUUUUGGAAAAUUUAGGAAUUUAGCUAUGGAUUUGGUUGUCAUAUACAGUUAUAUAUGAGCUAUAUUAUUAAAAACAAACUCCUGAGUGGUGUGCAAGGCCCUGCUUGGGGUUUGUUUGUCUCCAUAUCACGUACAUUGCACAUGCCUAACUCUAAUAUGAGCUAAAUUAUGAGAAAACACUAAAGGAAAUGCUUCGGUAAUAAAAUCGAUUCAAAAUGUUAUGACGUUUUCUUGCAUAAUGGGCAAACUUGGAAAUUUAUGGGUCAAGGAUUCUGAUUGUUUAAACAUGACACAUGUGUUUAUUCAUUUGAGGUUGAGAACCAGUAAGUAGGCCAUGGUCGAUGGUAACCUCAGCAUUUACGUAUUCCUUGUGUCACUGAAAUUUGGUAUUCCAAUAUGUACACAAUAUACUUUUAGGAGUACCAUAUGAAAAAUUGAAUGGUUGGAAUUUUCAGAAUGGAUCAUUUGCAGCAGAGAGGCUUCUUAGAAAUUAUCUUUGUUAUAAUUAAUGCCUGAGAAGAAUUCAGAUAGCGACUUUCUAGAGUCUGUACUUUCUUCUACUUGGCAAGAAAGUCACAGAACAAUUUGGAAAAUGUAGUGAGUAAUGCGGAGUUAAAUAUAGUACAAAGUAUCAAGAUUAUCCUAUAUUAUAUUUAUUGUAAGGCAGCAUGCUACUAUUAUAGUUUCAUCCUCGUGCAUAUUAGCGGAAGGAAGUAAAAGGGACCUGUUAUUUUUACUUUUGGAAAUAAUCUGGAUAGUCAUGCAAUAGCUUAAGAUGUUAGAGGAAUUCUGGACAAUAUCCUAAACAACCUUUCUUGAGGUCAAAGAAAGAGUUUUAUUAAUCCUUGUCAGAUAUGGCUACCUGGUACAAAUUACUAAAUCUUGUUUUUUCUUUCAGACAAUUAUUUUGACUGUUUCAAAAUUUUCUUACCUUUUAAGAGAUAUUUUAUUAUGUUACAAAGAAGAAGAACUAAACAAAGGAGGCUUUGAUCUCCAUCAGAAUUUCUUGGUUAAGUUGCAGAGCCUUGUUUUGACAACCUAUAAAUUUUAUUUUCUUACAACUAAUGAUGAUAUUGCCAAUAUAUAUUUGUUAUUCUUUUACUUUUGGGCAUGCAUGAGUACUAUAACUUUCCGGGGUUACUUUUCCUGUUAGUGUGAAAUAUUAACAAGAUGCUUUCUUUCUGGUGGUUAUUGUAUAUUGUAUUCAUAUUGUUUCAGAUCCAGCUCUUAUUUUCAGCAUAACUACCAUCAUUUCCUGCCUUUAGUUUUUUCCUUUUUUUUGUACUGCUUCUUUGAUAAGUUUGAGUAGUGCUUGUCUAAAUGUUUCUUCUUUAGAUUUGACUCCAUGCAGCUUAAAAAUUUGUUUAUUAUUUUUCCUAUUCCUUUCUUCUUUUAGUAAUUAUACACCAUCUCUAUCAUUUUAUAUGUAUUGCCCUAUACCGAACAGAUGAUCCAAGUAAUGACUUUCUGAAUUUUGUAGGUCACAGAGCAGCCAUCAAUGCUUCAGGGUGGGGAACUAAGACCUUACCAAUUAGAAGGACUUCAAUGGAUGCUUUCCUUGUUUAACAACAACUUAAAUGGUAUACUGGCUGAUGAAAUGGGUCUAGGAAAGACAAUUCAGACCAUAGCGUUAAUUGCAUAUUUAGUGGAAAACAAGGGUGUAACUGGACCUCACUUGAUUGUUGCUCCAAAGGCAGUACUGCCAAAUUGGAUUAAUGAAUUUUCAACUUGGGCACCGAGGUACAUACUUUAUAUUCAAAGAUGGAAAAUAAGAUUUUGAUGCACCACUUGUUUUAACACUGGUACCUUUUUUUCUUGUUUUAACAUCCUGCUUCUCCUAUGUGAGUUAGUAUUGUGACGGUUCUAUAUGAUGGGCGCCUAGAUGAAAGGAAGGCAAUGAGGGAGGAGUACUCAGGAGAAGGAAAAUUUAACGUGAUGAUCACACACUAUGAUCUGAUAAUGAGAGAUAAAGCUUUUUUGAAGAAAAUUCACUGGUAUUACAUGAUUGUUGAUGAAGGACACCGUCUGAAAAACCAUGAGUGUGCUCUUGCCAAGACACUUGUUUCAGGGUAUGCUACUUUUCGAUUCUAUGUAUUUUUUUAAGGUUUGGAUAUUUGAUUCAAUCUUGUAACUAUUAUUUUUAUUUAAUCUGAUUUAUCUUUUUUUGUGGUGUAAAUAAUAUAUAUUCAAUCUUGUAACCGACAUUUUAAAAUGCGUAACUACUUAAACAAUAAAAAAGCAUAACUAGGAAUUGACCAAAUAGAAAUUUAGAAAUCUACAGAUGUUUUCCACCUGUUAGUUAUAUAUAUAAAUAAAAGAUGACGCAAGCUUUUGAUUCAAUAAUAUAAAAUACUCCUAGAAUUUGUUCAAUAAACACUGAGUUUCCUGGAAGAUGCUGGUUGGAUUUGUAUAAUACAGCUUAAUGAAGUGAUUGAGGUCAAAAAGAAAUGCCUGAAUUUCUAUAUCUGCAUUGUUCAGGCUAAUUGGCAUUUUAGAGAAGUGAUUGCCUGUUGAGGUUACUUGUCAUAAAGCAUCUUUUUUUGAGUUUAUCACAAGCUGCGUAUUGAUAUAUCAGUUUGGGCUCCUAUUUCUGCAAGAGUACUUUGGAAACAUCUAGGCUGAAGCCAAGCUAAACAACAGUUUAUUAUGUUACAAUGAAAAUAUAACAGACAUUAUAAUGUUAUAACAACAAUCUAAGAUUUUAUAGUGAUAAUGGCAAUAUAAAAGUUCAGGAGGUCUCCUUUUACAUUUUGUAUGCGGGAAUCUAACUGACACAUAACAUUGUCUACAAGUCACAAGUAGGGAUGGAAAUGGGCUAGGCCUGGACUGAGGGUAUGCAAAAUUUUCAAUCGGAAAAGCCCAAAGACCAGGCUCAAACAGUGUAAAAGUUGGACCGUCGUCCAGCCAAUUUGCAUUCCUAGUUUAACAGCCAAUAUAUGAAUGGAACAACCACCAUUGUUUGGCAUUGUUGCUAUUUGUAUAAAUAAAAACAUUUUAAUGUUCAGUUUUCUAUGCCAGCUGAAAAAUAUCUUAUUAUUUUACGGGCAGUGUUUUGAGCAUAUAACAGCAAAUUUCCAUUACAAUGCAUUAUUUCCUAUUAUAAUGGCAAAUAGCAGCCAUUAUGAGAGUAAUUAUAUUAUUUGCAAAUUUACAGAGUAAAUGAUUGAACUGGCAAAUAAUGGUCUUUAUUUCGGUUAUAAAGAUAUAUGACAGUUUAGGAGGGCGUCCAUUGUCUGGUUAUAUUGCUGUUAUUAAAAGCUUGACCCCAAUACAAAACGGAGAAAAAACGAGUAAACAAAUAUUAGAAAAACUUUGCAAAUGGCAAACAAGAAUUUUGUACUCAAACAGUGAAAUCAAGAUAUCGUCAUCAUAAUUUAUACUGGAUGAGUCUUAUGUUCUUAGUUUUAUGAAAGUGAAUUGUCGUACAUAUGCCAUACAAAAUACUGUUUGUACUCCAUAUUAAGUGCAAGUUACCAUUCUGACUUCCAUUAGGCCUUAUUCUCCUACUGAAAGUCAUUCUUUAAAUUUGCCUGUUCGUUGACUGAAAGUUGUUUCUUCUUCUUCUUGACUAUACAUUAUUUAUUUUGAUUUUCCAAUUAUUUUCACUUUAUAUGAACAUUCACUGGCUUAUUUUGUUCUCACGGGAAAUGUGACUGAUAUAAACUUCUGAACUCUGUUCUUUUAAGAACUUAUUAUGUGAGUGAAUGUAAAAAAUAAACGGGUUCGUCUUGUUUUUUAAGUUAACCGAUGAUGUUCCAUGUUAUUGGCUCUGUUUGGGCUUAUCAGCUAUCACUACAUGAUCAUUGCUUGCUUAAACAUUAGAAUUCCAUAUUCCCAUUAUUACUGUCAGUCAUUGUUUAAUAACUGAAAUGUUAGACCAUACAUGUAUGAUAAACAUGCUAAAAUAUUUUUAUAUAUCUGAGAGAUUUCCCUAGGAUAUAUCUGAUGUGGAAUAAUUCAGCAGACCAUCCUCAUGAAUGGUUCCUAUCCCUAUAAUCUACACAUGUACCUACGACUUUACUACUUUGAAAGGAGCCUUGUUGCUUUCAUGUUGUAUGGAUCUAUUUGUAGCCUUUUCAGUCUGUUCCUUCCAGUUUUAAUAUAUGAUUGGAUUAUAAUGUUAAAUUUUAUGAAUGUUCCUUUUUUCUGAUAAAAUUUCUUAUUGUGGAUGCAGUUAUCGUAUUCGACGUAGGCUACUAUUGACUGGUACCCCGAUACAGAAUAGUCUGCAAGAGUUGUGGGCACUGCUUAAUUUUCUUCUACCCAGCAUUUUUAAUUCGGUACAGAACUUCGAAGAUUGGUUUAAUGCACCCUUUGCAGAUCGAUGUGAAGUAUCUCUUACAGAUGAGGAAGAGCUAUUAAUUAUUCGUCGUUUGCAUCAAGUGAUUACUAAUACUUGCACUGCUAUCUGUUUAUAUUUUAAUUUAAUGAUGCCACUUUUAGUGAUGAUAUUCUCUAAUUUUCAGGUUAUCAGACCAUUUUUGUUGAGAAGAAAGAAGGAUGAGGUGGAGAAAUAUCUUCCAGGGAAAACACAAGUCAUACUAAAAUGUGAUUUGUCUGCUUGGCAGAAAGCUUAUUAUCAACAGGUCACUGACAUAGGACGUGUUGGUCUGGAAUCUGGUAUGUUAAACUGGUGAAUGUUGUCUUUGUUUUACUUUCUUGAAAUCAUUUUGUCCGUUUCUUUACACUGGUAAUAAAUGAGCUAUCUGCUAAUAUUCGAAAAAAUUGCACUGUUUAUGUGUCAUUUCAAGCCAACAAAAUAUUGAAUUAAGAUCAAAUUGGAAUUUAUGAAGGAAAGCCUUAAAGGGGAUAUCAAGAAUUAGUAGAAAGAGUGCAUGGAAUGUGCUGUUUCAAACUUUCAAUUGAAAUGAUAAUAACUCCUGAGUCAAGAUUGUUGGAUGGGAGAUGUGAUGGUGUGACUGGUUCAAUUUUCUCAUCUUUUAUACAAAAGAAUCGAGUGAUAAAUGAAGAUGUAUCUAUUAGAAUUAGGGCUAGGUGGAUGAAAUGUAGUGGUUCUUCUAGAGUAUAAUGUAAUUGAUGAAUUUCUUGAUGACGGGAAAUUUUGAUAAGGCCUGCAAUGUGUGGUUCAUAUGUUAGGAAAUAAACAAUCAUCUAAGCAACAGAUGAACAUAGAUGGAAAUGUUGAGAUUGUUUGGUAAUAACUAGGAAGGACAGAGGUAGGAAAGAAUUUAUUAGAGUCUUGGGUUCAUAGCGUCCGAAUAUGGGAAGUGGUAGAGAACUAAUUGAGAUGCUUUGCACAUAUUCAUCAAGAUUUUAGUAGGCCUUGGUAUGGAGAGGUGCUUAAAUUUCUGUUUCAGCUAGCUAGAGGCAGGGGAUCCCUAAACUAAUAAGGGUGGGAUUAGUGUGAAAGGAUUUGGAAAAGCUUCCAGUGACAUCAGGGGUAGACCUAAAAGAGUAUCGCCAUCAAGGACUGUUAUGCCAGUACCAGUCCCCGAACUGGUUGUCCAGCGGCACGAGUCAGUACAGCCCCGUGCCAUGUCGGGCCUGUAACGACACGGUAGAAGAGGCGGGUGAAAGGAAGAAUGGGAGAGAGAAAAAGAGAGAGGAUGAGAUCGCCGGAGAGCCUUCGGCCGCCGCACGAAGGAAGUGGAGAAGGGGCUCUGCCUCCGGUCCCCUGUUUCGUUUGAAACAGGGGCUCCCCAGCCUCCGCCUCCGCGCGGCGGCUCCCCGGCCUCCGUCGGUUGGCCUCCACAUUUUUCUCUCUUCCUCUCUCUCCCUCUCCCUCUCCCUCUCCCUCCCUCCCCCGCUCUCGCUCUCUCUUUUCCUCUUUUUUUCGUCUCCUUCUCCCCCCUCCUUUUGCCGGUUCUUGUUUUUCGUUGCCGGAACCGUCCUGGUCCGCCGCCGGUACAGCUUGAGACGCCUCGAACCGGACGGUUCGGGACGGUUUCACCGACUAUGCUCUCCAUCUAUUCUUCACUUUAAGCAUUCAUAAGAUGGUAGAAUAUUAUCUUACAAGAAAUUUUGUUCUAGCAAUUUGUCUUUGAGCAUUCACUUUAAGCAUAACGAUUGGGUUGAGCAUAUUUUUGUCGGCCUGAGUUAGAUUUGGAGGAUAUACAAGUCAUGCUGGGUCGGUUUAGAAAUUACAAAACUAGACCUGGCCCCGGUUUGCAGAGGUUCCAUUUUUUAGCCCCAAUCCUGCCCAUGGGUCAUUCAAAACAGAUUGGAUUGGGUCUAAUCGGGUCGGCACUAGGUCUUGUCAUAGGUUGACUUGCUCAUUUGCAGCCCUACCUUCUACACCCUUCAACAAGAAUUAAAGUACCCCUUUUUUGGGUAAAAUUAAACUACCCUUCUUAUUGGAGUUCUCAAAUCUUCAUUGUACUACUCGUAGUUUGACUUGUUUUUUGCAACUGGUUGUCAACAUUGCAUCAAACCUCCACAAUCCACCCAUUUCCUUCGUGCUCCUGACUGGCUUUGACAACAUAGAUUUUUUGGUUUAGUUGACUAUAUUUUAGCUCUCUGUCAAAAUAUAUCUUUUAUAGUUCCUUGCAAGGGGAGUAGUCAUAAUAUUGUUGACAACCAAAGAUGCUCUCUUUGAUAGCUUGUUCUGGGUUGAGGAAGAAUAUUAUCAUUUGUAACCCGUAAGGUACAGGGAAGCAUACUUUUAUUCUGUCAAAAUAUAUCUUUUAUAGUUCCUUGCAAGGGGAGUAGUUAUAAUAGGGUUGACAACCAAAGUUGCUCUCUUUGAUAACUUGUUAUGGUUUGAGGAAGAGUAUUAUCAUUUGGACCUCGUAAGGCACAAGGAAGCAUACUUUUAUUCUGGACUUGUGUGGUGCCUAAGUUGAAUCUUUUUAUCAUUGUUUGAAAUUUGGCGAACCCUUUAUUAUCUUAAUGACCCCUCCGUUGUUGAUACAUCUCCGCUUUAAAGAUAGCUCUUUUGGGAAUCUGGCCACUUCAUUAACAAAGAGAUGGUGUUAAAGUAUUCCUCAUUUCACCUCUUAUGGACUCCAUAGGGACAUUGUAAAGGUCAUCUUUAUCUAGGGAUGCCUUUUGCUUGUAUACUGCUCGGAAAUUAAUGAGAAUUUGGAUCACUCUUUGGCACCAUAUGGCAUAACUUCCUUCUCAUGUUUUGACGGGGCUCAUGAUCUCAUGCUUUCACCAGGGAAUGGAUGACAAAUUGCCUUGAUGUUGUUCCUUUUUUGCUUUUAUUCUUUUUGUUCUCUAUCUUUCUUUCUUUCAGAUGAGUGACCUUAUCGCAUUGAAGCAACAAAGUGUUUUGACUGUAGGGAAAAUCAUCUAUAGUUAUUCAAUUUCUCAUCUGUGUUGAUUACAGAUUAACAUGGAUUGACCAAUAGUUAGGUGAGAGAGUGGGCUCUAAUAGUUAUAGCAUCUUUGUCAAGAUUUCAGGCCCUUAGCAUAUUUUAUUUUCACAAUUAUCGGCUAAAUAUAGUUAAAAAAAUAGGAAUUUUUUGAUUUGAAGAAAAAAAGUGGAAAAAAAAUAUCGAAAUAAAUUGAAACUGACUUAAAUAUAGAGUAGCAUGGGCAAUAAAUCUUCCAAGAUAAAUUUCAACAUAUACAUAUAAACUAAUUUAAGUUAGACUUAUGCCUGAAGUGCUAUCUGUAUUUCUUUUUCGAGUAAUAUUCCCUGAGUGUGAUUUGUAAAAGGUGAUAUAGAGUUGCCUGUAUUUGUGAGUGCAGAGUUUCAUAUAACAGAAGGUUCUGUUUGUGUCCUCUCUUUGGCAGUGAAUACAAUGUUCAUCCAGAACAAAAUAUGUGUAAAUAUAGAAACAAGACAUACUCUUCCGCUGUUGUUCAUCGUCUCCUUCAUAUGAAACCCAUGUUUUUCUGUCUAUUGCAGUUAUUCUUGUAUAUGUUGUUUAUACAAAAGAUUUAAGUUUUUAUUUUGUACAAGAAGUAUUAUCUAGUGCUGAUGCGGAAGCAUUAUUAUAUGCAGGCAUAAAAUCAAAGAGCCUUCAGAAUUUGUCGAUGCAGCUCAGGAAGUGUUGCAAUCAUCCAUUCCUGUUUGUACCAGAAUAUAACAUGUGGCAAAAGGAUCAAAUUGUUAGAGCAUCAGGAAAGUUUGAAUUGCUUGAUCGCUUGCUUCCAAAACUGCAGAGAACUGGUCACAGAGUUCUGCUUUUCUCCCAGAUGACACGUCUAAUUGAUAUUCUAGAGAUCUACUUGCAACUAUAUGAUUUUAAGUACCUUAGGCUUGACGGGUCAACCAAGACUGAAGAACGAGGGACAUUACUCAGACAGUUCAAUGCACCUGACUCUCCCUACUUCAUGUUUCUCUUGAGCACUCGAGCUGGUGGUCUUGGAUUAAACUUGCAGACUGCAGAUACUGUGAUCAUCUUUGACAGUGAUUGGAACCCUCAAAUGGACCAACAGGCAGAGGAUCGUGCCCAUCGUAUUGGGCAAAAGAAGGAAGUUCGUGUCUUUGUGUUGGUUAGCGUUGGAUCGAUUGAAGAGGAAAUCUUGGAACGUGCAAAGCAGAAGAUGGGCAUCGAUGCAAAGGUCAUCCAGGCAGGAUUAUUCAAUACUACCUCCACUGGUUAGUAUUUGUAUAUGAUCCUGGGACAUCUAAUUAUUAUAUCAUUUCUGGUUGUUUAAUAGAUCGUACCAAAUCAAUUCAUGAAGCUGUUUGACAUCAUAUUUUGUUGUUUUCUCGUGCAGCACAAGACAGGAGAGAAAUGUUGCAAGAGAUCAUGCGGAGAGGCACAAAUUCUCUUGGAACAGAUGUGCCAAGCGAGAGAGAGAUAAACCGCCUUGCAGCCCGAACUGAAGAGGAGUUCUGGCUGUUUGAGAAGAUGGAUGAAGAGAGACGGCAAAGAGAGAGAUACAGGUCAAGGUUGAUGGAGGAAAAUGAGGUGCCUGAUUGGGUCUUUCCUAAAACUAGUGAACACAAAUCUAAAGGGAACCAAGGCCUAGAUAGUAAGAGCAAUCAGGUCACUGGGAAGAGACGCCGUAAAGAGGUCAUUUAUGCUGAUUUACUUAGUGAUGUCCAGUGGAUGAAGGCUGUGGAGGAUGGAGAAGACUUGUCCAAGAUUGCUGCAAGAGGAAAGAGGAGGGAACAUCCCUCUGAUGCAUAUGAAUCUGCCUCUGAUGAUGCGGGCGGGCAGAGUAUGUCUGAGCAAAGGAACAUAAGCAGGUCUACGAUGAGUGAAGAUGGCAGUGAUGAUGUGUUGAGCAGAACAACCAAAAAAUUCAAGACUGGAUUUGUGCUGCCUAACAAAGAUGAAGAUGAGGGUGAAGGUGAAGGUGAUACCAGCAGCUGGAAAGAAAACAUUGUUACCUGGAGGACCCACAAGAAAAAGCGCUCGAGCCAUGGCUUCUCCAACUCAACAUCAGAUGUAAAGGGACCAUAGGGUUUCUAACAUAAACCAGAAUUUGGUUGCUUGCCAGGUGUUGAAUGAGGCAACCAUUUAGAAGUGAAUGUGCAUUGCUUGGUCUAUUGCUUAAAUAGCAAUUUUCCCCCUCCAUCUGAGAGAGGCACUGCACCCAGUUUCAUCUAUAUAAAUAAAGAUUAUUGAUUUGAUUUACUCCAUGGUGGGAACCGGUGGCUGCUGUGAUGUAAGUCAUUUACUUUAGGACACAAACAUGAAACUGGCGAAAUAUCAUUCAGAACCAUAAGAAUGCUUUGUAAUUUUUCAUUUUAUAAUUUAAGCUCACCCGCAAAGUUCUGAAACCACCCUUUUAGCUAUCCUUAAUUAUUUGCAAUAAAAGUGAUUGACUUGAAGUUGCAUUCAAUUUAUCUCUUCUUUUUUUUGUGUUUCACGAUCUGCUUAAACUUUUAAGCUUUACAUACCAAGUUCUUUAUGUGAAUAUAUAGGAACUUUGCAUAUUUGAUUCUAUUUAGUUUGAACAUCUUACAUUUUAGGAUCGGAUGAUAUAGCUCAAUUUUGUAUUAUAGAAAUCUAUCAGCAUUAACAUUGAAGCCUUGAUUAUGGCAGGAUAUUUUCUGUCCUUAUGCCUGUGCCAAUGCAGCCUGAAUAUCGCCCAUUGCGUAAAAUUCACCAGAUGCCAAUGUUGCCCUUGUCAGGUUUUAUGGGUGCAAAAAGUUUCUUCUGCAUCAUCGUCAUGCUUUUACUUAUGGAAACUAGUAUUUUUCCAUAUACUUCUCAUGUGGAUAACCCAAAAAGGAUUUUUUAAAUAUGAGCAAUAGCUAUUAUAUAUUUAAACUUAAAAAGUAACCCAACUAAUAUAUAAUAGUCUAUAUGAAGUUUAUAUGGAUGAUAUAUGACAUUAAACAUGGAUUUGAGGACUUUCCAAUUUGAGGUAGAACUGAGGAGAUCUAAUCCUACAAUAGUCUCACAAUCAUGACCAUCCGUAUAUUGUAUGACUACUGAUGAUUAUUUGACUUUUCAACUAUUUAUACGAUAAAUUAUUUUUAUCAUAUUGAUAUUUUUUAUUAGUAUUUAGGCAAACUAAUCUAAAAAUUAUACUAUAAGUAUGGGUAGUUCUAGUAUCAAAAAAAUGCUACUAUUAUUCACUUUUCAUUAUGAUGACUCAAACACACAAUUAUACAAUCAUUGAUUUAUUCUAGAAAAAAUUAUAGUUAAAAGAUGGAGUGGUUUAAUAGCAAUGAUUACUUUUUCUGUAAGGAUGCUACUAAUUGUUAAGCAACCUUGAUAAAAACGUAAUCAAGAGAUGCUACUAACUUCUCGGAUACCUGUUUUGCGCUUUGUUUUAGAUUUUAUGGUUAGUGACUAAUGCUUCUGUAUUCUAAUUCAGCAAUAAUUUUCUAUAUAUGGGAUAUCAUGUUGCACCAUUAGUUAACCUUAAUCUUUUUUUCUCUAUUUUAUAUACUAUUUGAUUGGAAGCUGUAAAAUGAACUUGGCUAAAAUUUAGGAUUUGGCAGGUUCUAUAAUUCCCUAGGUCAUUAAAGUGAAGUGCUUGUAAUUUACUUUAUUAAUUUACUAUCUCUCAUUUUUGAUUUCUUAUCUUGUGUCAUAUGUUAGAAACUUGUCGACAUGAUUUUUUUGCAGAAUAAUUUCUGCCAAUUUUUACACAAUAGAAAUUUAUCACUUUUGCUUUCAGACUUGAGUCCUCUCACUCACAUUUCAAAGCCUAGACCUAUUUUACCAACCUAUAUGACCAUUGAAAAUUCCAACAUAGGUAUCAACCAUUCGAUAUAAAGAAAUCAUAUUUGAUGUCAAAAUAAGCUCAUUAUCUAGGUUAAUGUUUGUCUAUAAAUAAACUUGACAUUCAUCUUAACUCAUCAUUGAGUGCACAAGAAAUUCUUGUUCAAGCUUAAUAAUAUUGGGCAUAUUAAAAGAGUUUUUGUCACAAUGUUAGCUUACUAUAAUAAACCAAAGAAAUUUCUAUCACAUUUUGUUAAUAUCUAGCUUUAAAAUACAAUUCCUAGUAAGGCCAUUAAACCUUAAAAUCCUAAUAAGAGAAAUCCAUUACCCCUUUUCAUCUCUCUCCCUAUUCUUCCUCAAUGAUUGACCACCUUAUUGACCACCACUGGUAUAUCAUGCCGGCCAUGACCAUUGGUACAGCUUGCAAUCAUGACCAUUGCCCAAAACCCUUGUAAGAGAUAGCGAUAAGGUUUUACACCUUGCUAACUUGUCUUUCAUCUUUUUGGAUAUUGAUAUGCAACCAUCUAUAUUCUAGAUCAAGCUUCUAUUGCCUAUUGAGGAGAACAUGAAAUAGAUUGCUAGAUCUUGUAUCUCCUAUAUUGCCAAGAGAACGAUAAUGGAGAAAGAAUAAAUCUUUCUGUCUUCUUUUCCUCUUCGUUCUCUUUUUUACUUUUUUUUUUCUCUUUUCUUAUAAUAGAUUUGCUGUCCCUCUUGCAUUUGAUAGGAUCUAAUUAUGACACUUGGUAUUGCGUAUUUUUUUAUUAAAAAUUAUUUAUUCGAAUGACCAACGUAAAUGUUAAUUAAUAUUUCUUGCUCUAUAAUGAUCGUUAUAACAUUACUACAAGCUGUAACCAUGUAGUAUUACAAAAGAAUAAAUUAAUUUCAUGUUACCAAAGAACAAUGAUACGUUGAUCUUGCACGAAUUAUGAGGGACUUCAAAAAGAGCAUCGAACAAGCACCUUUAUAGAGAUUUUAUAUAGAGUUCGUUUGAAAAAUUAUUGGAUGAACUAGGUCCAUUGCUGAGUUGCUAGACCAAUCCAAAUCGGAAAGCAACACCAUCGAACAUGAAAUAUCCUACAUGAUAUGCAUAAUAUUGUCGUGCAUAUCACAACCAUUCACUUCCGUGGACUUCCUUUAGUAAAUCAUAUGAUGUAAUACAUAGGAUAAAAUUUUUGAGGGUGGAGGAAAAGAAGGCGUGUUGCUUUCCGAUUGGACUGGUCCACCAACUCAGCGGUGGACCUGUCAAAUUAAAAAUGACCCCCGACGAGUUCACUCGCCCGCAACCCCACCCCCCACCCAUCGCUAUAGCCAGAGCCGGAACUCGAGAGUCGAGACCCGACCAAAUCUAUGUCCGAUUUUUGCUGCACAAGAAGAAGAGGAGAGAGAAUGUCCAUCCCUCUCUUCCACCUCGCUCCCGAUCUCAGCGUCUCCAGGCUAUGCUUCGGUCUCUCUCUCUCUCUCUCUCUCUCUCUAAAUCCUCUGUGAUUUUUGGCUUCUAACAAAUAUUCUUCGUUUAUUUAGGAACCAUGACGUUUGGGGAGCAGAACUCACUACCGCAGUCCUUUCGACUUCUUGAUCAGGCCUUCGAAGCCGGCGUGAACUUCGUCGACAGCGCUGAGAUGUUGAUCUCUCUCUCUCACACACUCUCUCACCCACAUUUCCUGUUCUUGGUUUAUUGUUUUAAUUCUUAUUAACUUGGAUGCUUUCGAUCUUUUCUCUGUGUAAAAAAAAAUCCUUUUUUUUUUAUGGAAAAGGUAUCCGGUGCCUCAGCGAAGAGCUACUCAGGGGUGGAGUGAGAAGUACCUUGGUCGUUGGAUGAGAGAGCGGAAGAUACCGCGCGACCGUGUCGUUGUGGCUACUAAGGUCCUUUCUUGUUUGCCUUUAUCUUACUGUGUUUUCCCUUUUGUUUUAUGAGCGGAUAGAUGGAGAUGAUUUAUGUGGAUGCUUAUACUAGUUGCUGUUGGCUUUUCAAAAUUAUUUGCUUGGCGAUUAUUAAGAAAAGGAAACAAAGAUGCAAAUAUGCAAUUGAUGUACAAGAGAAAAUGAAUGCUGUUAUAGGCCCAAUUUGGAAACUUGUUUGGAGAGAUAGACCGACACACACGGAGAGAGAUUCCUAUUUUUAGACCCGUUCUUCUGCAAGUGACAUAGAUUUUUUUUUUUGCAUCGGAACUGGUGUACUCUGUAGUUAUUACUUGAAUCGACGCUGUACUGUUUGUCGUUAGGUGUGAAUGAGGGGAAAAAGGAAAUAUUUGAUGAAAUGGACAAAUAUGACCUUGCGAUUCCCCUUAUUCUAGGGCCAUUGGUUGCAAAUUUUCUAUACAAGGAUUGGUUUUAAGAGGGAAAAGUUCAAGUUUCUGCUCUUUCUGGAGGUAUACCUAAAAUGGUCAGCUUACCAGUAUGCCUUCUACUAUAAUGGAUUUGAGAGAACCAAAUUCUGGUACAUGGUAUUGUGUAUUUCUUUAAAUUAUCAGUAAAGAAAUAGAGAUAGGUCCAGAUUGGUAGUUAUCCAUCAACAUUUAUGUGCUAGCCAUGCUAUAUUAGAUGUCAAUUGUUUAUGAUUUGGCGGAUAGGUUCUUAGCUGAUCCUCAUCCGAUAACAGACAUGAUUCUGCAAACUUUUUGGUAGCUAAUCUUAUCUAUGUAUGCCAUCAACAUUUUGAGCAGGCUAUGUGACUUAUUUUCGACCUUUUAUUUUCCACAGAAGAUAGUAGUCUUGACACCAAUAACCACUGCUCUCUCAGUUGGUAAUAACUAUUGGGACACAAUUUUUUAGCAUUUGGAUAACUCUAAAAGUUGUGCCAGUUACAAACUGGUCUGCAAGCUAUGCAGCUUGUUGCGUGUUUCAUUUUUCUGACACAUGUGAUGCGUCAUAGCAUACAAGAAUUUGGGCAUACUGAUGUAUAUGUCUGGGUGAUUGAUGGAUGGCAGAUGACUGUAAUCUGUUAUAGUUGGUUUCAGCAUAUAAUAGAUAAAUUUUUUUUGAUACGCACAGAAUAUUUUCUAAAAAAAGCUGUAGAUAGAAAUAUACUGUAAGAAAAGUUAUACAACAAUAUAGAGAAAUAAUAAUUCUCCAAGUUUGUGAACUAAAUCCUAUCUUUUGACACCGAAGAGAUUUUUAUUUGUGCCUUCUCAUUGGAUGUUUGUUCAUAAAGAAGAGGUGCCUGUUUUUUUUAGCUCUCCUUUUUGUAUUUAUGUUGCUUUGCGUCUUUGCUGCUAUCUGCAUUAUAACGUGUAUUUGGAGACUUUGUCUUUUUUGUUUCUUGCUUAUGUUUAAGAUAAUUAAUAGGUUGUGCAGAAAAGAAGAUGUCGAGGCAGGUAAGUUGUAAUGCUAAAAAUUCUAGAUUUAAAAAUGAGUGUGUAAGAGAAACCUUAGAGUAACCUAAAAUGGACAAAUUGGUGAUCACCAUUUCACAUGCUAGAAAUUCUAGAUUUAAAAAUGAGUGUGUAAGAGAAACCUUAGAGUAACCUAAAAUGGACAAAUUGGUGAUCACCAUUUGAAGUGGCUUGGCCAUGAGCAGCAUAGGACAUAGACAACCUCAUUAGGGAAAAUUCAUAAAGCUUGCCCAAAUAGAUAAGGCUUGUUUUUGUGUUUAUGUUUUAUGGAUUAAUUUCCCUCCUGAACUUCUUGCAUAGUGUAAUCUUUAAGCAUUAGUGCUUUAUCAUGCCUUCAGUAAGUAGAAACAUUUUUUACAUGCUACGUUCAUAUUUCUUUUAGGAUCACCUGACAAGUAGUUCUAAGUCCAAGAAUAUUGCCUCCAUCUGGGAUUAUGUUGUGUGUUUGUGGAUAUCAUUGACUUGUCCUAUUUAAAAAUCACAGGUAUCUAGGAUUAUGUAUUUUGUAUAAUUUCGAUCGGAGUUUGUUACUUUGAGAUCAUCAUGUAUGCCUUAUUCAAAGGCAUUGACUGUUAACAUGAUGUGGCCAUCUCUUUUCCCCAAACAAUUGUUGUAUCGAGUCAUCAUGAACAUGGACCCAUCCAUCUUAAUAGAAAAUGAAGGAAUAGUAUACAGGAAUGCAGGAAUAUGAAACGGAUUAGACAAGAUGAAAGAGAAGUAGAGUUUGCUCUGAUGAUGUACCACUCCAGAUACAAAGAAUAUAUUUCUUGACUAUUCAUAUAAAUGUCCCCCAAAAAGUCUUGUGGUUUGGUUUAAUUAUGGCUUGUUUUCCAUUUCAGUCCAUUAUUCACGAUGCUACCUAAGAAAAUUAUACAUUUAAAAUGCAAGAUGUAUACAAUAUAUGCUAUUACUUUCUAAAUAUCCCUGUAGUUUUCUUACAUAUUUUUUAUGCCAGAUGCAACAUUUAUUGAAGUAACUAUAUUGCUCUGCCCACAGGUUACUGGACCAUCUGGCCAGAUGACUUGGAUUAGAGGGGGGCCUAAAUCUUUGGAUGCUAAUAAUAUUUUAGAGGCCAUUAAUAACAGGUUCGAGAUUUAUCAUUAGGUCCAACUCUGUUUAUUAGAAGUGUAUAUUGGAAUCAUUAAAUGAUUUCUGACAUUUUUAUAUUUGAGCACCUUCUGUAGUCACAAGAAGUAUAUCUAUGAUUGGACACCUGCUUUUAUUUAUCUACAAAUGCCAAAUCAUAUGGUUGGGAGCGGAAGAGUAGGUUACAAUUUUACAGUGAUUUGAUUCGUUGGAUUGGUGCGUGAAUGUAUGCAUACGUGCAUGUAUGUUUUUGAGAAUUGGUCACUAGAUUGCUGGAAAGGUGUAGUUUAACUUGCUACUACCAAUACUUGGAUUUAUAUCAAUACUAAUUUUUUUUUUUUUUUACCUUUUGUUUUUAAAUUGAGAGCAUCAAAAGAAAUCUUCUCCCACCCUUGAAGAGAUCCUUUCACUGACCUUUUUGACCAGUAGAGGAAUUGAAAUAACUAUCAUCUUGCAAGCUGACAUUCCUAUAAGGGAUCUCAGUGGGCAAGCCUGGUCUAGCUACCCAAGGCUAGGUUCGAUACUCGUUGGCCAUGGAACUCAAAACCAGCCCAAGCCAUACCUGAUGCUAUUUUAAAUGACCGAGCCCAUAACUAACCAAUUCAUGUUUUUGUGGGUGUAUGGAUGCAUGCAUGCACUUUGUAAAGCUUAUACGUAUGUGCACCUCAUUAUUUUUUUAGGUUGGUUAUGGCCCUAGACAAGCCAAGGUUGGGACAUACUGACCUAUAUUGUCUAGAAUAAUCUUGAGCCUGGCAGAUUGGACCUAGCCAGACGACCUGAAUGAGGUCCAACCUGUUGUGCCUUAACCUUCGUUGGCUUAUAGCCUGCUCGACUUGAAGGAUUCCUCAGUACUAUGAUUCAACAAAUAGUUCCAACCAUAUUACAGAGUCUAAAGUGGAUGUUUGACAACAAUAUUUGACAUAUGAUUAUUGUCUUGGAGAGGUGAUAGUUAAACAGGAUGCCAUUCAAUUGGGCAAAUUGAUUUAGCUGUGUUUGACAUGCCCGAACCUCUUAAAUUAACACUUAAUGAUUUUAUGGCCAAGUUUUUGUCUUCCUUUUGGCAAGUUGGUUAAACUAGAAAACAGUUUGUUAAUUACUAUGUUAACCUUCAAGCUACACUCGUAUACAUAUCAUAGAUACCUUAACUUGCAAGCCUUAUCCCCUCUGUAUGGGUUUAUCAAGAUGAACAAGGUGCAGUCUAAAUUUGGGGAACAGUUUUAGGACCAUUUCUCUACCUGAAGUUGGCCCUCUGUGAAUUGGUUGCCAGUUUCUUAUCAAAGUAUCAAAUGAUGCACGAACCACCUAUCCAAAUUUGAAAUACCAAUCAGUGCAAGGAGAAAUCUAAUUGAGAGGUUAUGUAGUUUAGGGUUAUUCAACCAUAGAGCAACUAUUGAAGAUUCUCUUGGAUAAGGAAAGAAUCUAGACAAAGAGAGAAGAUUCUCUUGGAUAAAUAAAGAUUUGUGAUUAUCUUCGCAGCACAUAUUGUAAGAUGAACCUAAUAAAGAUACCAUCCCAAAACACAAUGCUAAGGAUACACAGAAAUACACAUUAGCAUCACUUUGUUUAGGAUUUCAGGAUCUUACUAUUUUUGGCAUCUGUAUUCAUGUUGCCGUGUGAGCUCUAUAACUGCAUCAGUUGUCAAGUAUAUGAUAAGUCUGAGGGACUCUUAAAGGUGAUACAGGGAGACAAGAGUCGAUGCUCUUUAGUGGAGGUUUUCCUUUUGGUGAUGGCAUUAAUUAUUAAUCAUAUGUGAAAACAUUUCUACUCUGUUGCUCAGCCAUUUUGAUUGUUGAAUCACCAUUAAAAUUAUAGAAGAGAUAGGUUGUCCUAGGCUAUUAGUGGUACUUAUAUCACCUUCCUAUACCUUUACCGUCAGCUAGACUUGAUAAUUUGCAUAUGCUGGCUUUUGAAAUGUAAGUUAAGGGUCGAAUAAAUUGAACCUCCCCUUUUAUGCUGUAUUGGAUGUUGAAGUUGUGCAUUCUGUUUGUUUACAUUGACCUCAUAGCUAUGGAAAUAUACUAGGUGCUAGUUAAGGUCAUCAGCACAACAUGUAAAUUAACACCAAUGCUUAACUUAUUAUUUGGAACAAGAUAAUUUAGUUUCACCUGCGAAUCCUUGGGCCUUUUCAUAAAGGGCUAUGAGUGGCCUCCUAUUCCCGUUAAACUUUUCUUGGCUACAUGAUUGUAAAGUCUCCUGUAAAAAUCAGCAUGAUGACUUAUCUGUAAAGUCUGCAUAAACAUUGUUGGGUUUGUAUUUUUUUUGUGGCCAUGUUCCAUGCCCACUUUUGGUAAUAAUAUUUCUACAAUCCUAAUUGAUGAAAUGUUUUUCUAGGAUCCUUCCUUAAGCAUCAAUAAAUCAAGGUUUUUUCAUUUAAUAAUUGACUGACGCUGUAGUCUUAUGUGCCUUCAGUCAUUCUUUCCAAUAUGAGUGGCUAGCAUUGACAUUUCUGGACCAGGGCUGGUAGUAUAGUUAUAUAUUCCAGGGCAUACAUCUAGUAAGAAAAUUUUGUUUAUUACAUGUUCGAAGUAUAUAUUUUUGCUGAAGAUUUUACACAUGAUAUAAUUGGAAUCUUACAUUUUUUAUUUGUAUGUCAGUUUUUGCCUUUCUGAUGAUAUAUCCUAUGAAAUAGAGAUUCACUGGCAACAAAGCAGAAGCAUCAUUGUCAAAACUUUAUCACAAUGUUAUUUGGAGUUCCUUGCCUGUCUGCCUUCAUUUUUGUAUUAUGAAGCUUCGAUACUAAAAUUGAAAUAAACAUCUCUCAAUCAUCAAUUUCGACUCAAGACUAAAUUCUGUUUAUUCAGUUCAACCUUUUUUUUGUUUCCUUUCCUCUCUAGAGUCAGGUGGUCAUUUCAGUUUCUAUUCCAAACCAGCACUAAAUGUCUAAACCUUUAGUCUUUAACAUUUACUGGGCAACCUCACCCAUCAAAUCUUCAAGUAGUUUGCUAAUACUAGCCAUUUAACAAACCUUGUCCCAAAUACAUGUUAUUGGCUAUUAUACAUCAACGUAAAACUGCUCCUUUUUUUCUGAAUUUUGAUUGAUUCAAAUUUAAUACUGUUUUGUGCUGGAUCUCUGCUUGACAUAUAUCCUCCGAAUUAACGCUAAAUCCUUGAUUAAGGAAACUACGGGCAAGAGGGGCUUAGCUUGAAAUUUGGAAAGCUGGUAGGUGGCAAGGAGAUGUCUUUUAUUGAUGGCAAACUUUUAGCUCAGCUGACAGAAAAAGCAACCCUUCCAAAGUUCCCUAUUUCAGUGAUGAGUCUAGGCAAGGAGGGAAGAACUCAAUUUGGUUUUUGGGAAUGUAUCUAUCUUUCAAGCACGAAGACAUGGUGACCUGGGUGUCAUGGGUUUAAAAUAUGAAAAUAGCCUCUCCGCACAAGGGAUUAAAGCUGCAUACAUCUGACCCUCCCCAGACACCGCAGCGACAGAGCCUUGAUGCUCUUUUAGUCAUCUCUAAAGCACGGUUAUGAACCAUAGUGAAAAAUUGAAGCACAAAGCCCCAAAAUAACAAGAUUUUGGUUUAAAAAAUUAACAAAAAAAACUGAAGUAGUUCACUGCGAACAAACAUGAAAUGAAAAAAUGUAGUGCGGGUCUACUGCAACUGGAUGCUAUAAUAGAAAAAGUCCAAGUCUUUGCUAUGGAAUUGUAUAAGUAAUUGCUACAUCAGAAUGAAAUCAAUUAGUUUCUUGCUUGUUGUUUGAUUGUUUAGAUAUUGAUAAAUCUUUCAUGGCACAGGUUUCAGUAGUAUAUUUCUACUAUUCCCAACAUAACUGUUGUGUACAGAAAUUGUUUGUAUAUGGAUAUAAAAGUGUAUCUGAAGAAAGAUCUACUGUCAGAUGCUGAGAGAUUAAUUUCUGUACAAGAUUUAACCCAAAAGUUAUUGUUCUUCUUUUCUUUUGACUUGAUGCAGUUUGUUGAGACUGAGCACAGAUUACAUUGACCUGUAUCAGAUACAUUGGCCUGACCGGUAUGCAUGAAUAAGUUCUUUUCCUAUUUGGCAAAUCUGCAGAGUAAUUGCUGAUUCAGAUGAAUAUAAUUUAUCCAAUAGGGAACUUCUUUCUGUUAUCUUGUUUCUGAGGCUUUCCACUGUAUUUCCAGUUAUGUUCCAAUGUUUGGAGAAACUGAAUAUGAUCCAAGUCGACAGUAUGCAUCUGUGGGUAUAGAGGAGCAGCUUGGUGCUCUUGGAAAAGCUGUUGAUGCUGGUAAGGUGUGCAAGCAUGGUUGGACAUUGGUUGCCAGAUUAUUUUAAGAAUACAUCUAGUUUUAUUUGACAAGAAAUCACGCUUGUAGAUCAGAUAUAUUGGUCUUAGUAAUGAAACACCAUAUGGGGUGAUGAAAUUCCUUCAACUUGCUGGGAAAAUUCAGCUCAACAGUAAGUUAGUUUCCCUGCAGGUAUGAGCCCAUUCUUGUUGUAGCUAUGGACUACUUCCUGUUAUUUUUGGGAUAAUAAUUGCCAACCUUUUGGCCAGAACUCUUACAACUUACUUUGCCGAAAUUUUGAUGCUGCGUUAGCUGAAUGCUGCCACCAUGAGAGGUAAUCUGUUAUUCGGUUCACUUAGGUACUGUAUAGCUAUCUAUCGCUGAAAUCCAGAUUAUGUUUUCUUUGAAAUUUAUAAGCUUGUGUAGUCUUUGCCUUUACAUUUUAACAUAAUGCAAGAGAUAGAUUUCUUGCAUUUUGAUUUGGGUAAUGAUUUUAGCUUAUUUCGUUUUGAUGAUCAUGAGAUGAUUUGAGUUUGAUCUUAUGCCUUCUAGGCUUAUAAUGGACUUGGACCGUAGAGAAUGAUAUUCAUCACAUUAAGUUGUUUUAUGUGUAGCGAAUCUAAUUGUCCAAAUGGUUUUUAUAAGCAUCUUUUUUGGGGUCCAUUAUCUUUGCCAAGUUAAAGAUCAUAAAUGAAAUAUUACAUUUCCAUAGUGAGGAGGAAGCCACGUUGCAUAAUUAGAUAUUCCAUUUUAAUCACCUACUUUUCUUUUGUUGAAGUGGAUGUCUCAUACAAAUCGGAUACAAAUACACCCAAAAAAGUUAAAAAAUAACAAGUCCCGAAGUGCACCAGGUAAUCCCCUCUCCCCUAGCCAUAGAGUCUUCCCAAAAUGGUUAGCCAUAUACGAGACUACCCAAUCUACUGCCCCGUUGACCUCAUGAUACACGUGCUUUGCUUGCGGUGCCAUCCCACCACUGAUCAUAGCCUGGAUAUCCCUGAGCAGCGGGUGGUGCUCGUCCACCUCAUCCACACCCUGCUGAAUCCAAUCAAUAACUGUAGCCGAAUCUCGCUCGAGCAUGAUAGCACAGGCUCACAGUUCGCGGCACGCAUAGCACACGCCAGUCCAAGCUGCUCGCAGUUCUGCUCCGGAAACUGAGAUGUUGAAGAUCUGGCAGCCCUCAGCUGCAAUCACCCUAGAGUCCAGACCUUUGAUGAUGAAGCCGGCUGCUCUCCUGCUCCCGCUAUCCAGUACACAUCCGUCGAAAUUUAUCUUAAGGAAACUCGGAGGUGAGGGAUCCCAGAUGAAUAACACCGUGCGAGACGUUCCACGAGCAGAAGGGGAGCCCCAAGUAUCUCGAGUUGUCAAGGGUAUGUUCGUUAGAUGUGCCUGAAGGAUGUCAGCUGCCUGGCAUCGGGCUCUCUCCGCAACGAACCGUCGGGGGGGGGGGGGGGGCAGCUCUCUCCAAAUGUCCAAGCAUUCUUGGAUAAUCACCUACUUUUGAAAUCAUUAUUUAGCACUAGCAGUCGCAUGUGCAAUGCAUGUGGUCAGCCCGUGGAAAAGUAGUGACAAUUAUAAAAAUAUGAUCAAAGCGGAGGCUGCUCGGGGUUGGAGUUAUGGAGAGCUUAACAGAAAUGUGGCUUGAUUUUUUUUCAUCAUUAUGACUUUAGAGGCCAUUAAAAGCAAUAUUUAAACAUGUAGAGGUGAUGGAAGAGAAAAGAAUGUAAUGUGAUAUUUUUAUCUCUUAAUAGGUCAUCUGAUCUCCACACGAGUAAGGAGCAAGUUUGGAGGUAAUCUAGGUGGCCUGACUGAUCUGAACCACUUCUUUGUUAAGGACUUGGUCCAAAACAUGAUCCAGUUACUCAGUAACUUAUGUCACCUUAGGUCCAAUAUUUGUAUUGAAUCUAUAUUUUUUGUCUGGAUGCAACAUUCAAUUUGCAACAAUGCAACCAAAAUUUUGGUUGUUCAUCUAGGGUUCGUCAUUCGUGCCAAUAAUUUCCCUAUCAUAUAGCAUGAAUUGUUAUUUACCGUAUUUCACCUUUUGUAGUUUUAUGCAUGCUUGGAGAGAGAUGCAAUCAAAUUUAUUCUCAACCUUAUGUGUAUAUUGGGGCCAAAGUGUUACACAACUCAUCUUGUGAAAUAUCUAGAACCUCCCAAAUCAUAUGGAAUCCUCAACUGUCUGUUGCCGCGUCAUCGAGCCCAGCGGCUCACUCUCCUUCGAUCAUCUCUUUGGGCCAAGGAGUUCUGCUAUACUAUGUAAAAGUAAAGAUGUAACUGGAUAUUUUUGCUUUAUGAAAAUUUCUUCAAACACAUGCCUUGUGUCAUUCACUAAACCAUGAUACCAACAGGUAGACCAAUGAAGCUGAUUACCUGUUAUCCUUUCACGCUAUGGGAUCAUGACUUUGAGGGAUUGUCAUCCAACAUCUCCAUCCAAAAUGCUCUUUAUAUUCUUAUCAAUCAUUUAUCACUGUAUUCAGUCAGGGAACUUUUUUUGGGGUGGGGUGGGGGUUGGNNNNNNNNNNNNNNNNNNNNAGGGGUGGUGAGUUGAGAAAAUUUGUGGAUGUUGCAACUUUACGUGUCUGGUGAGAUUUCAAUGCCCAAAGAGCAGGAGUUGGCUAUGUAAGAGAUCAGAUUCUGAUCAUAGUGGUUGUGAUUGGCUGAUAUUAGCCUUCUUGGUUAGGAUUCCAAGAAGACUCCUCGUGAGACACUAUGGCUGUAAAAGUAAAAAAAUUGCAUGAUAGAAAUCUUUUAACAUGUACAGUAAUAGGUUAUUUUGUUUCCUUAUUUAAUUAAUAAAUGAAUAUGUCACCAUUUAGUUUAAUAAACAUGAAGAUCUUUGUGAUAUGAAAAAAAUUAAUCAGAAGAAAUAUGAAAAAUAUAUUUUAACAUAUUAAGAUUUUGAGUAAUGUAAAGAUGUGGAAUAAACACAGCACUAUGCUAAAUUUCAAAACAUAUGAGAAGCAACGUUAAGAGAGUCAAGCAGGUGACAUGUAACAUGGUAUCAAAAUAUUGUUGUUUAGCUGUACUUAAUAAUAUUAAUCUACAAAUCCAAAAACCUAGGUGGCAAAGCUUGUUUCCUUAGAAAUAAGAUACGGCUCUAAUAAUCAUCAUCUUCUUCUUCAAAUUGAGCAUGGGAAUCGAUGAAUAUAUCACACAACUCUCACUUUCUUUUACACCUGCAUUUCUUUCAUGUCAUAUACUUAUCUAGGCUUAUGUACUGGCAUUACAUGUUGUCUAAUGAUAUUGAAUGUUACCUAAUUAUGCAUACAAACUUGGCCAAACAUCUCAUUUGAAUAAAAACUUUUCAGAAUUAGCUUGUUGGCUUACAGCCCAAUGGCAAUGGGCAUACUUUCUGGGAAGUAUUUCUCUCCUAGUGGGGGUCCAUCAGAUGCACGAAUGAAUCUAUUCCGAGGUUGAAGCCAUGAUCUGUAAAUUUUUAAUAGCUGAUAUUGGAAAUUUUCUGGUUCAUUAAUUUUCACUCUGGUUGAUUUUUCUUCUUUUUUCCUUGUAGGAAGAUAUUCUGAAGGUGAAUCUAGAUAUAACCUUUCCAAUCCCAUAUUAAAAUCAGCUGUUCAGGUAAUCAUGUUAUGUGCAUCGAUUGAGUUCUGAAUUUUUCAAGAUCGCUAAAAGAUAACUUGUUAAAGAAAGUAUGAAGAAUGGAAACCAACUUACUUCUUUAUUGGUGGAUUUAAAAAAUGUUGAUUUUCUCUUCUGUCUUUCUAAUGGAUCUGUUUCAUAGUUAAUGUAGUUGAUCCUUGCUUCUUUAGCUCCUUUAUUGCCCGAACAACUUUAUCUGCUAUGAAGUCUCCUCAUCAGCACACAAGAUUAAAUAUCUCUUAGUUUAUUACAUAUUAGUAUAUAUCACGCUAUCCGCAGACAAUGUUAAGACUGUGGUGAUGAUAUUAAUUUGAUGGGUCACAGGGGACAAAAAUCACCGGAAGAAAGAGUUAACGCCAGAAACCUUGCAGACUUAUGGUCUAGAAGAUUUGAACUAUACUAGUAACGUACUGAGCUGAUUAUUCAAGUUAUAAUCUUAGUUAUCAACAUAAGCAAUACUGAAAUGGAUUCACUAUUAAAAGUUCUUUCUAAUACAUUAUUAUAAUUCUUCAAUUUCCAUGCGUAUAGGCUUGAUAUCAGUGUCGAGUUCUGAUGUUAGUUAAAAGUAUUCAAAAUCUUUAAGAUUCCACUAUACCCUUUUCUUUAUGGUUCACAUGUCUGUUGAAUCAUAAAGUUUCCUUUUAUGUACAUUCGUACAACCUGGAUUCACAUCCCUACUAUGUCCAAUAGACUGCCUUUAAAGCAGACUAGCUCCUGACUUAAUGCUGGUAUAGUUUAUCUGAAAACAAUUGCUGUAUCAUUGUACAUGCUGGUCACUUUGAAUAUCAGGUAUUUGUUAAGUCAUGUAUGCAACAAAGGUUUCUAUUGGUCUUAACAGGAUAGCUGGGCUUGACCCUAAUCAGUUAACCUCUUUAGUGAAUUGAAGCUUAUCCCAAUGGAAUUUAAGCUUAUCCCAAUGGUCACACCUUUUUGCUUUGCAACCAGAGGUCUUGGGUUCGAGCCUUCAAUGAUACAUUCAAAGUAUUCAGACUUGGGUUAUCAUAGUGCGGGCGGAUCUCCCUCCCUCACACUAAGUAAAGUUAACCUAUUUGGUUUUUUUUAUGCUUAAUUAGGUUUCACUUGUAACAAAAGUAGCAUAUUGGUAAACCUGCCUAUCUUCAAACUGUCUUUUCGUAAUAUCUUCAGCAUAUGCUUUCACAAUUCUUGUUUUCAUGAAUUGCCCAUGUAAAUUUGCAGGAAUAUGUGGAUAUUGGCGUGAAGUAUGGUCUUUCUCCUGCAUCUCUUGCAAUUGGUAUGACCAGUGACUAUUGCUUGCUGGAUGAUAGAUUGAUGGUCAAUGGUUAAAUGCAAUAUCUCUAUAUUUUAUGUUCCUUCUUCUUGUUUGUUGACAUGGCUUUCCUUAAGAGUUUUGAAACAAUCUUAUCCCUUAUUCACAUGACAACUUUGGAGACUAAUAUUGCAAAAAUUCGUGAUAACCUAGCUUUUUGAUCAUAAGCAGUUGGAAAAGACAGUUGCAUCAAAGGAGAAUAAUUAUCCUAUGCACCUAUAGAAAAGGCUCAAUAGUUGAACUGUAGAAAUUGAGCUUCAAAAUUUAUAUUUGAUCGAAUGCAAGACAAGAAAAUCCUGCUCAAGACAAUUAAAUUUGUAGCGUAACUAGGCCACCAUCUCAUCCAUGACCCGUGUAUUCUGAUGUAAGGAUCCCCUCUCCUUCCCCCAUUUCUACUACUAGUUUUCAUAUCAUAUGAAUAAUCCAGCUUUGUUGGAAUGAAUAGAGCAUCUCAACUUGGAAUUUUAUCAGGAACCCAACAUAUGAUUAGACUGCAGAAUGCACAAGAAAAAUGCAAAGUGGUCAAAGAAUCUUAAUUUCAGCCUGUAAGAAGGGUCAUAUGAGAGUACAUAAUUCAAUUUGUGCCCUAGUUGUGUCUGUUAGCAGUCAAAUGCUGUAUGAACUGUGUUCGCAGAUAGCCAGCAUUAAUUUAAAUUUUAUUCUCACUUGGGUUCCCAUUUGUGUCCUCUUUGGCAGCAUUUGUCUUGAAGCACCCUCUUGUUGCAAGUGCUGUUUUUGGGGCGACUAAAGAAUGGCAGCUAAGGGAAGUUCUUCAAGCUUCUAAGAUCCGUCUCCCAAUGGAAAUAAUUGCUGAGAUCAACAAGGUUCAUGCAAGAUAUCCCAAUCCUUGCCCUUAAUCAGAUUGCAGUUUUUUUCCUCCUUUCCUUUUCCUUCCCAUCUCUAGGAGUUUCAUAAUUAUUCUUCAGCACUGCAGAUUUUGAUUGUGAGAAAGCCUAGUUCAGAUUUAUACACCAUUCUUUUUCCUUUCAUUCAUCUAUAGCAUGGUAGGUCUAGUGAAUGGUAUGUUGUCAUUGAAAUAAUUCUACAGCACGUAAGAAAACUUGCUAGUGAGUUGGUCAUUGACAUGUAAACCACAAGUAGAGAGAGAAUUGAAAUGGACUGUCUUUUUUUUUUCCUUUUAAUGAUUUAAGAGAUGGCAACCAUCACAAUUCUUUUUGUGCUCUAUGAUUUUGUUUUACUUUUUUUGUACUGAGAUGAAUUUUAGUUUUUGCCUUGAAAACUAGAUGUCUUUGAUCAUCAUCUAAUAGAUAAAAACAGAAGGGCUUAAACUAACCUCAGCAGUAUGAUGACUAAAUUCCAUCUCAAGAGAAAUGUUUUGAAUCAAUGUUAAAGAAUAUAGAGAAAUAUGAGAUUGUGUUACAUGUUAUAUUAUUGAUUAAGAUAGGUCUUGUUUAAGACUGUUGUUCUAUUCUUUGUAUGCAAUCUCUUUUAUAUGCUUUUGCGACAGCAAUGCCUUGGAUGCUAUAACCUCUGCAUAUUCUUCAUCUGUUUAUAUUGAAUUAAACAUAUCAUAUGUCAAUUCAUCUCCAUACUGUUGGAAUGGCAGGGGCCUCUGCUCAUGUAGUUUUUUCCUCCUCGGUUCUUUUUUUUUGGGAGGGGAUUCUCUAAUAGCAUCUGUUUUUGUAGAGAUUUCUUGAUUUCGAAAUGUCUGAAAGCCUCGAGUCUAAGUAUAAAUCUAACUCCCACUUGUAGACAUGCUAAGCUGAUGAGUCUUAUCAUAUCAAUUAAAUUUUCUAGUCAUCCAAAGAGCAUCUGAACAUGACUUUUAGCCACCGUAUUCUGAAAAAACAUAACUUUUAGCCAAUAUUACAAGCGACAAGUAAACUUGACGGAGAAGUGUUCUGAUCUAAAUGAUUUAUUGGGUUAAAAAUUGUAACCAUGGACUCGAUCCGACCUGACCCGAUUUUCUAUUGGGUUGGGUCUGGGUCCAAAAUUUAGACCUGAAUAAAAAAUCGGGUCGGGUCUGGGUCACUCAUGAAUAUGACCCAACUUAAUCUGAUCCAACCAAUUUGCACUCUUAUUUGGAACCAUGUAGCUACUAUAGGUGGGCCCCACUGGGCCUUUUGACCAACCUACAAACUGGGCUCAAUCACGUUACUUGAAUUUGUGUGCAAUUUUGCCUUGGUAGCACUAUAAAGCUUGUCCCUCAUGUGAACUGCAUAGUUGACAUGCUUCCAAAUCCCUUUGAACUAACACAACCUCCGCUUAUAAGGUUGUUCCCAGUCAUGUGAUUACAUUUAAGCGAUGGUUUUAGACCUACCACUUCCAAGAUUAACCUAGAAAUAACCACCAAAAAAAAGCAUGGUAAAAUUAGCUUAUGAGCAAAAUUUAGUAUUCUGAUUCAAUGAAAUAUGAAAAAAAAUGGUUUAGAAAGGUGUCAUAUAUUACAUUUUCUGUAUCUUCCUUGGUCUGGUCCAUCAAUGAUCAUUUCAAUGGUUGAGGAGUAAGGUACAUAGUUCUUUCAUCAUCAGGGAAAGAAUGAAAAAUCUAGCAAAAAAAAAAAAAGAAGAGAGAGAAUGAAAAAAGAACAAUAAUGGGGUUUUUAUGGAUCUUGGGCCUGCUUGAAAGGAAAAGUUCUGAAGACUUUAGGUGGUAUGGAGUUGACAAGUCAACCGACUCAGGACUUCACCUCAAAAGAUUAGCAGAAAGUGCUAUUUGAAUUUUUUGGACUAAAUGCAUGCCUGCAAAUCCAUGCUAAUCCUCACAUACUCGUUUCACGAAAGUUCUAAUAUUCUCACAAGGCUAAAGUUCUAAAUUCAAUCAUAGGCACUAUAAUUGAUCUACUUGUAUCUCCUAAUCUAUGUAGGUCAUGGGUCAGGUAUAACAAUCAAAAAUCUUUCUAACACUGUCAAUGUGGGAGGAUCUUAUAUCAAGCAAUGCAACAAAGGAAUAAAACAUUGGUACUUUUUAGCUCUUGCAGCCCUGCCAUAGCUUAGGAAACCUGUUCUAUGUUCAAAUUACAGAAGUUGAUGAUUCACAUGCAUCCUAAACCCAAUUUCUUUCUUUAUUAUUUAUUUAUUUAUUUAUUUUGUAUUUUGGUAAGCAAAAUCAAUUAUCAAAGGAAUCACAAUUAUGCACAUCUUGGUAUCUCAGCUGUGGGGUUUUUGAAUAUUUGUGGGAGCUUCCUAUACCUUAUUCCUUUUAACCUUUGGCCCAUGAGAGGCUAUACAAAAUCAAUCUCUCUCUCUCUCNNNNNNNNNNNNNNNNNNNNUAACUAACUACUCUCUCUCUCUCUCUCUCUCUCUCUCUCUCUCUCUCUCUCUCUAUAUAUAUAUAUAUAUAUAUAUAUAUAUAUAUAUAAGAAGAAAAAAAAGAGAAAGCAACACUACUGUCCUUUAGCCUUUCUAUCAACAAGGAUAAUGAGAGAAGAUAAAUACAAUGACGAUGAAGAUGGCAACACCAACUGUUGAACAGGUUGUAGAAUUUCUAUCUUGGUGCUUGCUUGUUAGAUCUCUCCUUUGUCAUCGAAAGUUCAAAAUACACUCAAUUAUCAACUCAUAAAAUAGUGUCAUACUUGGUUGUUCUGAUGCCAUUGUUAUAGAGGUGGCGAAAAUGACAAAUAAGAAACCUCUCCGCAGCUUCUUCUACAUGCAUUUGUAUCGAGAAAAAAAAAGGUAAAAAAACCUUCUACAUGCAUUCAAAAGGCCACUACAGGUACAUGUAUCUUUUCUAUUGUAAGGUUUAGAUAUAUUGUCAUGUCAAUACGAUAACAAGGUCCAUGCAUGUAGACUUCUAUAUCUUUUUUAUCGCAUUGUCAAUUUUUAGUUAUCCUAAAAAUUGCUAAUAAUUACAUAAAACAAGCUUUAUAAAUAAUUUCAAAUUUUAAUAACAAGAUAAAUUGAAAAAAUAAUUUGGAAGGAAUGCGUGCCUGGAACAAGGUAUGUGAAGAUGCUGACCUAAGAACGGAUUUCACCUCCUUGUGCAGGUUCAUAUCGAGAUUAUCCUCAAGGUACAAAGAACUCGAUUCAGUCCCAAGCCACAUAUUAUGAGCAUAAUUGUGUGGAGACUGACCAGAUAAACUCCUUAAGUUGCCCAGGUAAAAAGUAAGAAAAGCUUUGGAAAAUUGAAAGAGAAGAAGAAAUUGAGUGGAAAUUGAAAAGGGGUCUCUCUCUCUCUCUCUCUCAUUAAUAUAAUAAGGCCUGGUCUAUUUCAGAAUUGUAUUGUUUAAGACCCAGGACUUGGAACCUUUUUAUUGGCUCGGUCCAGGUAAAAGAGACCUAUAAAGAUCUCAAUGGGUCUCUCAAUAAAAGUUAUAAUGCCCUAAUAGCACUGGUGUCUCAUAAUGGCUCAUAUUGUGUAUGCAUUAAGAUCCCUAGUGCUUAUGUUACGGUGUGUAGGUCAAUCGUGAGUCAGUCCGAUUCAAAAUUCAAAAUUCAAAAUUCAAAAUUCAAAAUUCAAAAUUCAAAUUAAAUCAAUUUAAAUCCAAUGGUUUUGAAAUUUGUAAAAUGAAAAAUCAAAUAUGAGUUUAAUCUUGCUCUAUAAUGCUUACGUUAUAUAUAUGAAAUCAAUUUUCAAAUUUAAUCUGGUUGGAGCAUAUGGCAAAACAUGCUCGCUAUGUGCGCAUAUGCAUCAUGCACCUACACUCUAGGCAUGCAUGUAUGUGCAUGGAAUACGGCCAAGCUGAGCCAAGCCGAGUCGAGCAAAAGCGCGCAUGUGGUCCGCUACCAUCACCCAUAAAGUCCAACUGGGCUUGGAAUUAUUGGAUGUCGGUAAAUGCAAAUGUACAUAAAAUUUAAAAUCCAAUAAGGAGCUACUAAGGCUGAGUUUUUAAAAUUUUGAAUCUUUAUAAAAAAUAGUAAAAGUUUUAUGCGCAUAUUGAUUGAACCUUUUCUUAAAAUGGAAAUUAAAUCUGCAUAGAAUUUUAUGUGUUCCUGCCGAAGAUUGAGUUGUGUCAGCAUGUAAAUUUUCAUGCGACUUUAUGUAGCAUAGAAAUUAUAUGCAAUCAGACCUAUGUGUCCGCAUAUAACUUGUAUGAGGGAGUGCAUUUGCACAGAAAUUCUAUGCAUGUUUAUGCUGUCCGCAUAUUAAUUUCUAUGCAAGUCGUAUCCUUAUAGUAAAGUUAUGUGUUUACCCGCGUGACCGCAAAUAUUUUCUGUGCGGAUCAAAUCCGCAUAGAAAUUUUAUGCAUUUGCACAUAAAUUUUUUUGCAUCCACACGAGUUAGUCCGUAUAGAACUUCUAUGCGGGCAUUCAUCUGCAUAGAAACUUUAUGCGCUUGUUCUUUAAUGUCGCAUAUUAAGUUCUAUGCUGGUAAAACUUCAUAGUAAUUCUAUGCGGGACUCGUAUUUGUUCGCAUAAUAUAUUCUUUGCGGAUUACAUUUGCGUAGAAAUUUUCUGCGGUUGCUGACUUGAUAUCGAUGCCCUAUCAGACCUUGAAUAUGACCUCUAUAUUCUCUGUAUGAAAAGCGGGCCUUCUCUGGCUUGAGUUAUUUUGAAGGUGGUGGUUUCUUGUCAUAUUGGCGUAGGGCCAAAACAGAGGAUAGAAAUGGGAGACAAUGUGAGAAGCCAUGAGACAGAAGCAUGAUCUACGGGCUUACGUUUUGUAUCUGUUGGGGGAAAAACCCCAAGUCAUACCGCCACGGAGGCGCUCGGCCAAAGAGCGUCGACCAGGAAGGCGCUCGACUAAAGGGCGCCGACCGGAGAGAGCGCCAAGAGGCGCCCAAUCAAAAUAACCAAGUAGAGAUGCUCGGAUAGAAAGAGCCGACCAGCGGACGCCGACCAGAGAAGCGCUCAACAAGAAGCGCUGACUAAAGAGAGCGCCAAAUAGAGGCGCUCGGCUAGAAGGUGCUNNNNNNNNNNNNNNNNNNNNNNNNNNNNNNNNNNNNNNNNNNNNNNNNNNNNNNNNNNNNNNNNNNNNNNNNNNNNNNNNNNNNNNNNNNNNNNNNNNNNNNNNNNNNNNNNNNNNNNNNNNNNNNNNNNNNNNNNNNNNNNNNNNNNNNNNNNNNNNNNNNNNNNNNNNNNNNNNNNNNNNNNNNNNNNNNNNNNNNNNNNNNNNNNNNNNNNNNNNNNNNNNNNNNNNNNNNNNNNNNNNNNNNNNNNNNNNNNNNNNNNNNNNNNNNNNNNNNNNNNNNNNNNNNNNNNNNNNNNNNNNNNNNNNNNNNNNNNNNNNNNNNNNNNNNNNNNNNNNNNNNNNNNNNNNNNNNNNNNNNNNNNNNNNNNNNNNNNNNNNNNNNNNNNNNNNNNNNNNNNNNNNNNNNNNUUCCCCGGCUUCGCGGCGGCCCCCGGGUCCAAUUUCCAGCAACAGUAUCAAUCCAGCAAAAUCUUUGCCCCCUGCCAAAGAAAGUGUAAUAAAAUCAUGGGCAUUGAUUGCAGCUGUUUAUGAAGCAUAAGAUAUUUGUUGGAUUGGCUUGAGAAUUGCAUUGACUCAACCAAGGUUAAUGGUACUAUCUCAAACCGUUCGGUUAUACCAUCUCGAACCGUUUGAUUUGGAACUUACCGAGCUAUGCUGGAGGCAAAUCAAAUCGGUAUGGUUCUGCCUUUAAGUUCGAGAAACUGGUAAGGAAGGAGGGAGAGAUAUCUGGAUGAUGAUGACGGAUGAAGGGGCCGUCCAGACUAAGCAUGUAUUUAGAGAAGCCAACGGGGCUGCAGACUGGAUGGCCGCCUUUGUGGCUAACCAUGCCGGUAGCACCUUGUGGACUGAGAAUGGAGAGCUGCCUCGGGAGCUCCGCGAUAUUCUGUUUUUUAAUUUAUUGAAUGUAUUCGUACACAUAUUGUAUGAAUUACCUAUCUAAGACAAAAAAAAAAAAAAAAAAAAGAAAGGGAGAGAGAGGGAGGAGGAAGUAGAGGGCGGUGGAGAGAAAAAGACAGAGGAAGGGAGAGAGAAUUUUCAAAACCUUCUCUCCUCUAUGGUAACACACUCAUUCCAGUGGGAGCAACCAUUAUUUUAAAAAUAGUGUUUAAAUACACCUCAAUGCCGGCAUAUAUAAAAUUUCUUGUAUAGAGGAGGACGGACCAUCAAAAAGGCCGAGGCAAUCGACGCCGGUGGCCGGAGGUCACUCCGGCGUUGGUCGGGCGGUUGCCGGCUUCAAGAGAAGAAGGAAAGGAGGGUGACGACUUGACUUAUGCCCAUCGUGGCUCCGUUAGCUCCUCGCCACCGCGCUUGUGUUGUGCCUCGAGAGUCGUACAAUCACUUACAUGGCAUUUAGUAAGAGAAGUCUCUAUAAAAUGAGUUAGUGGACGGUCUCUAUAAAUUUAUUCUUUGAUGACCUCUCGCAAGACCAUCAUCAUUAACCCUUGUCUUGGUUAACAGCUAUUCUUUCACCCAAAAUAUACUAUUUCAAUUUUUAAGUGUUAAAAUUAAAAUAUUAUAAUAGCUAUUGUCACAGUAGUAUAAUAAGAAUAACAAACAGUAACAGAAAAAUAAUGAUAUUUUUACUAAACAAACAUUGUUUUUUAGAUGGUACAAACUUUUUUUUUGAGGGAAGAUUUGUUCAAAAUUUGAAAUUUGUUUAAAUAAAACUAUGUUAUUUGGGAAAACAAAAUAACUACAAAAAACGGCUCAUUAUGUUUUGGAACUUUAAAACUUGCAUGCGGGUGAAUAAGUUGCCAACUUGCCAUGCAGGUACGAUCCCAUUUGUACCAACCGAAGUCUCCAGUUAUUCUAUGAACUAGAGAGUAUACACCAACCUGAAUUUCUUUAAAGAAACUCACAAAGUAUUGCAUACUUUGAUGUCACAAGAAAUUUAACAAAAUCCCAAAUUACUAUCCAUCUCUUUGUUCACUGGUGAAAAAAGAGUGGCUUUUCUGAGUUUCUCCAUACUGCAGAUUACUUGAAAUUCCAUCAUUAACAAGGAGAGCUUAAGUGCAUAUAAUUUAGAAUGUCAAUUCGAAAAAAGAAAAAAGAGAGAGAAAACAACGAUGACAACUACUUCUCACAAUGACUUUAUACUGAUACAGCUGUGUCACAAAGUUCAAAAUCUAUCUACUGAAAUUUCUGCUGCUCUCAAACCACAUCAGGACCUCUAGGUAAACACAACUCAAUCCUGAGGAUCACGGUGCAUCAGCUAGCUUCCUCCACCAUCAGAAGUCAGAAGCCUCGCAUUUGAAAAGAUGGUUUAUCGAGACAACAAGACGAUUCUGAUGACGUCCCAUGCUACCCUCAUAACACCACCAUUCCUUGCAGCAGCCUCCUCAAAUGUCCUUCCAGCAGCUUCUGAAGGGUGUUGAACCUCUUUCCACUUAUCAGUUUUGAGCUCUGUGACCUCAACAAUGCACAAGCUGCUAUCAUCCAAGUUCUUCCCAUGCCAUCUACCUUCUACCUGAAACACCUUACCCUUCCCAACUUCCUUUCCUUCUACAUCUACUAGCAUAACAAACUGGCCUGGUUCAAAUGAAACAGAUCUUGCAGAGGGGCGGUUUAGCUGCAUCCCAUGAACAAAAUCAGACGGAGGGAUCAUCAUCUCAUUAUCCUCAUUGCUUGAUGCCCUUGUCAUCAUGCUACCAGAUCUGGUAAUGGCUUGGUGAGUGCUUCCUCUGGUAGGUGGAACAUAGAAUUCUUCGCCAGCACUCUCUGGGGAAUCAUAGAAAUGGGAUACGCUCGUGCCACCGGAUUUGUCAGGAUAGACAUUUUCUCCUUCAGAUGGAGCUCGGGCUUCCCUGGCAGCACGAGCAAGCCUCGCUUUCCUAUUGUUUAGCCUGCAAUUCCGAUGAAUUAUGUUACACAUGCAUCAGAGGAAUUGCUGAAGAACAACAAAAUAAAAGGGGGAAAAGAAACUGAGAUAAAAUGCUAACUUAUGGCAAUAUUUAAUGGAAGGCACGUGCAUCAGUUAUUAAAAAAGAAAUAAUAGCCAGAGAAUUAUACUAACAGAUGACUUUGUAGAAACCAUUAACUAUCUCUUUUUUAUGGGGAAAAGAUCUUAAUGCAAGUGACUAUGGAAGACAACAUGAUCCAUGAAAAUCAUUUACUCAAGAUUGCUGUAUUCAAGUUCUUUCAUGAUACUGCAAGAAAACUUCAUGAAUUUGCUUAAUGUAACAAUUAAUUAGUAAUUAUUAAUUAGUAAUUGGUAGGAAAAGAAAAGAAAAAGUAGGCCUUGAUAUCAGAGAGCUCUCCUUGAUGUUGCUAGACAACAAAAUACAAAGAAACAUUGCAGCACAAUGAAAAUGGUUGCAAGAGGAAUAGGUAGAGUAAAAACCAAGCAUCCAUGAGAGAGAGAGAGAGAGAGAGAGAGAUUCCUACUAAGAGCUCAGAGCCAAGGAGGAAAAUGACUUGUUAAAUUACCACAAUAAUGCUGGUGUGCUUUUAAGAAAAUACUAACAUAAGCAGGGUGCUCUCUUACCAGUUCUUUAGUUGAGAGGAUGUAAUUUCUGAGCCCUGGAAAAACAUAACAGCUCAGAACUAACACUAAAAGGUAGUGUCAAAAAAAAAAAGAAUGAAACAAAAUCCUAAACAAUAAUGAACACCUGACAACUCAGCUUAUCUGCCCAUGACUGCAAUGAAGCUGCAUUUCUCUGCAUUUCAGGUUCCUCAAGGAGGGCCUUCUCAAUUAAAAAGAUCUGUCUCUCAUUCAUAAUAUUUCGCUUUCUCUUUCUUGGUUGCUUUUCUUCACCCUGAGCACUCUCUGCUUUCUCAUCUUCUUGGAAGCCACUUUCUUUCGCAUGCUCUGCUGAUUUAGAAAACUCCCCAUUAUCAGAUAACAGGUCAAGAUUGAUUUUGCUGGAAUUCAAUUCUACAUACCUCUUGUUUCAAAGUUCUCGGUAGGAUCACUUGUAACUUUGAGCUGGUCCAGCUCUUGCAGUGAACCUUCUGGAGUUCUCCCUUUUGCAUCAACAUCAUUAGUAUUGAAGAUUGGAGCCUCAUCUUGAGCAUUUGCAUCUAGUUUUCUCGGUAAAGAUGGUGCAGUCCUCCCGUUAUUUUGAGUAUCCUGUUAACAAUUGAUUUUCAAUUUACAUUAUUAGGGAACAAUAUCGAUCUUAUCUGAUUAUUUUGCAAAUGAAGUUUGAAAGAUUACCUGCUGCAUGACAUAUCCAUCCUUGUUGUCUGAUGUACCUUCAUCUUUGACAAGCAGUGCCUAACCCAUCAUUCAAAUAGGGACAGAUGUGAAAAAUCAAAUGAACUGACAAAAUGAAACAAAAACAUUUAUCUAAACAAUAAAAUAAUUUCAUAAUAUGGUUAAUUGAGUGUUAUUAUGUUACAAAUUUGUAUAUAUAAGGGCGAGGGUGGGUGUUAUUACCUACCUGAACCAAAUUGUUUCCAAUUUGUGGUUCAGCUAAUUUUUUCAGUUGGUCAGAGAAUACACUGCAAAGAAAAUUUAAGCAAUGAAAACACACUAACAAGUCAUUUUUAACAAACAAAAUAUAAUAGGAAGAAAAUGCAAUAAAUCUAACUAGCCCAGAAUACUUUCACUAAAUAUCCUUCUCCUAAUAAAAGGUACAUGUUCAUCUGAAUUCCUAUCUGUGCAUAUAUCUAUAGAUAUACGCAUGCAUGUACACACACACACACACACACAACAGUUUCUGCGAUGAGAUUUAGAUUUCAAUUUGAUUCUUGGCUUACAUUUUGUGCCUGAGGAAUAUACCAAAUUCCACCAUACAAAACCUUAAUCAUCCACCCCACCUUGUCUACACCCUUUCCAGAUCUACUGAUAUUUUAACAGGUUGCUCCCCAUUUGCAUGAGAACUAACUGCAAGCAACAAGGUUGGUUUACCUACAAACUAUCUAGCCUCCUAAGUUUCAUGGCAGGCCUAUCACUUGCCUAAAUUUUCCUUAGAUAUGAAUUUCAAAGCAGUUCUUAGAGCAUUGAUAUCAAGUUGACAGUUUGUCUUAAAGUACUACAUCUGUCCGAGUACAAGUGGCUCCAUAAUUGACCCUUAUUUAGCGGGAAAGAGAUGGAACAAUGGUAAUAACAUAAUGAGCCAAAGAACAACUAUCAACAUGGUGUAUAAAAGCCAAAUUAUUUCUAUUUUUUGGCUCCCUACAAAACAAUAGGAUUCCUUGUGAAAUAAAUUUCAGGUGAAUCAAAAUAUGGAACUAGAAAAGAGAACUUUCUAUGGGAAAGCUAGUAAUGCAAGUAGUCAAUAACCUGGAUUUAGAAAUGUAAAUCUGAAUUUCAUUGUUUAUCACUAUAAAGGAUUUCUAGAACUCAAAUCAGAAUAAUGAAGGCCAACCACUAUGAUGUAGAUCCCAUCUAGCAGCCAAUUACACAAAGAUGCAUUGAUGAUAAACUGAAAUAAGAAGACUGAAGAUAGAAGAUACAAGAGAAGAAGAUAGAAGAGAGAUGACACAAAGAAGAGAGACGAUGCAGAGGCGCAUGGACUACUUUACCAUUACGCCUCCUUUCUUUAAUUGGGCUAGUGCAUUCCCUUUCCAGUCACUCGAUGACAAAGAAAGCCCUUGAGGCAGAUACAGAUAACAUAAGUUGGCCUGGUAUUAGGAUAAACAUAAGGCCAAUUAUAUGCUUGGAGACUCAUAUACACUGUAUCAUAAAAAUGCAAUAAAGGAACAAAUUCACGUUAUAGCACCAUGCUUUUAUUUAAGAGUUGGAUGGAUGAGGAAGAUAACGUAUGUGGUACCUUCUAUCUGGAAGGUAGAAAUUAUCUUGGCGAUGAGAACAAAGUAUUGGCCGUCAUUCCAAUUUCUGGGCCAGUAAAUAGCUAAUGCAUCACACCAAGCCAUGCCAAGUACUCACAUUGGUACAGGUUGAUACACAACAUUUAGACAAAGAAUGCACACAACUAAGCUUGUAGAAAACUAUUCAAACAUUAAUCCAGAUUAUUUUUCAUGUUUUCAUAAUGAAGAAGUGUCAUCUUUUGUUGUUCCAUCCAACCAAAUCAUGCAUCCCAGUGGUCUCAAAAGGUACUGGGAAUAUAUCAAGGGCUACAAGUACAAAAUAAGCAUAGUUUGCAAAAUGUACAGUCCAUGUACAAAUUCCUAGAAAAAGUGCAAUCAUGAAUCAAUAGGCUAUAAUGUAUGAUACAAGAAGCUAUGACACUGACCUUCCAACAAGUCUGACAAAACAUAAAUAAAUCUACAACUUGUCAUAUUCAUGCAUGCUACUGGACAUUAGCAAGCACAUUUGACCACUCUAGUUCCAACUUAUUUACUCUGAUGCAUUUGAAAACUUUAAACUGAAUUUGCAAUCUAAUCACAACUAUGAAUGUUUUUGUGUGUUGCCUUCCAUAUGAGUCCUGGUUUUUUAGCGAGUUAAAGUAUGAAGAUACUUGCAGAUAACUACUAUUACUUCUCAAAGGAAGUGCGUUCAAUCACCUUAAAAGAUGCACAUCCUCAUCAUUUAAUAGGUUGGCAGUCAAAGAUCUCGCAUACUCAGCUAACGAACCUGCACAUCCGUGUCAAUGUUUUCCAAGGGUUCAGAAAUUAUUCUCUUACCUAGGAAUCUCAAAUUCCACAAACAUAACCAAAGCAUCAGGAGAAGAAAUAUACUUAAGUUUUUACAAAUUGUGGUAGCCUUCUGUAUACCAGAACUCGAGGGGUAUCUGGAUAAUUGAAGGAUCUCCAUAAGCAUAUACUUGUGAAAUUUGUUGAGGAAUAAAUCCUUUUCUUCUUCUGUUGGUUACAGCAUAGAACUCAAUUAGAGGGACUAGAUAUUUUCACAAUUAAUAAAAUUCCAGUUGACAUACAUGAAAAUAAUGGAUAAAAGAUGUCACCUUCACAUAUAUUAGGAACAAAAACGUGCAAAUUUGCUAUUAUUUUAACCAAAUACGAUGUUCUUUGCUGUGCAUAUACAACUGAAGGUAUGCCACUGAAACUGCUUGGGCAUGCAUAAUUAGUUUCAGUCAGAAAAACAGGUGUUGAUUGAGCACUCUCACAGCCAUCGCUUAGAGUACACAAUGCCACACCAGCUGCAGUAAAUGGGUCAUACUCAAGAUUAGCAUCUUCCUCUAUCAUUGGUAUAUUGACAGAGCACCAACUUGAUAGGAACUCAUCAUGGGGAGUUGCUAAAAUUUCGGCCAGGACUGGAAUCUGGUAAAAAAGAAGAUGGAGUUGUGACAUAAAGCAUAUAAUAUAUCAGUUAAGGACUAAGAUAUUGAAUUUCAGAUAGCAUACUGUAUUGGUCAUAAAGAAAGACCGGAAAUUUGAAUCAUCAGAAAAUAUAUCAGCUAGGCGCAAUGCAUUAAGAAGCACGAGGCCCAUCCGGCUACUCUUGUCAUGAGAAUCAUCAAGUUGUUUGGCUUCUUGUCUGAAUGCAUUCUUCAGUGAAUCAAGGAACUGCAAUAGUGACAUAUAAACUGAUGAAUAACAGCUCAAAGUUAAAAAUAAACACAACAAAAUAUGGCACCUGCUCUCCCUUCCAGGGAACCUACCUCUAAUGCAACAGAAUUUGCCAGAUGCAUGGUCUUUUGGGAUCCAGCUACCUCAUCAAGGUAAGAAAUACUCUCUGCCUCACAUAACUGCAGCAACUGCAUAUAGAAACAUUGAUGAUUGACAUCAAUUCUGACUCCAAAAUAUGGCAAGGUGUUAAAGAGAGUUAAAGUAAUGUGGUGGUUCUGGACUUACAAUAGACAGAAUUUUUGCCUUCAACCUAGACACAGUAGCCACAAUGUCAAAAGACUCCUUAAAACAAUCUGGAACAUUUAACUUUAGAAUCAUACAAGCCAGUAAAAGAAUGCCCCCAUUUUUACACAGUUCCUGUCAUAAGUUUAGAGACUUCAGUAGUUGGUUAAGGAAUUGGUCAAUAAAUAUUACAAAAGUCCAAGCAACACUUAAAGGGCUGCAUAUGAUGAAAAGGAUCAGAUGUUACUCUCUGAACUUGAUCCAAUGAGUAAGAUCUCAUCUAGUGCAUGUAGCACACACUUCAUUAGCAGUGUGCCACCAGGUGAUCAUGGAAUUCUAGGGCGGUAGGGCCUACCCUUGCCACUAGCAUUCUGCGACAAGCAAUAUAUUGGUGGAAAUGAUGGUGCCACCAUUUGCAACAUGGACAGCCAUGCAGCCCGAGUAGAUAUAUGUUAUACAUACCAGCUCAUGAGUGGAGUAAUGGAGUUGCAUUCUUAUAAGAAAUAUGCAUUCUGUUAAGAUAUUCCACCUUGUGUUUAAGCACACGAUCCCGGAUCACCUUUUGCUGGCACAAGGAUAAAAGGAACUGCAAAGAAGCCUCACACUGUUGGCUAAUAUAGUGGGCAGUUCUUUCAGCGGCACGGAGACUGAAUUUUUCGCAUAGGACUUCAUUGUUUAAUUCAGAUAGCUUGUUACAUAAUAUCCUAAUGUCUUCUUGCAUGGCAUCAAAAACUACAUCCAUGAAUAUAUCAACCUGAAAUUAUAAAGCAAUGGUAGUGAGACAACACUGUUGCAAUACAUGACACAGAGAGAUGCAUUGGAGUUGAAGCAGAUCUUUGAAUAACAGUAGAGGCAAAUAUUUUGUAAACAUAGAUUUGUAUACCUGCAUGCAAACUUAUAAGCUGAAAAAGAUACAUUUUGAGAGUUGCAAAAGAAUUCCUUCUCAAUGUAAGAUCAUUGAAACAUAAGCAAUGGCUUAAGCCAGUUAGUCUUUUAGAAGCAUGCUCUUUAUCAAGGAAUUACAUUAUAAGAUGAAUCAUUAAGUCUUAGUAGAGGUAGAAUGUUAGCCGCCAUUCUUCAUAUCAUCUUAGAAGUCAAAUGCAAAUCCUAUAGGUAUUAGAAAGUCAACUACUACACCUAAUGCUUGCCAAAGCACAUGUUUGUUACACUUGCAAUAUUACACCACUACAAGCUCAACAAGUCCAACCUUCCCCUUUAGCAAUUUUUCCUUUUCUUUUUUAUUUUUCAAUUACAUUUAAUAGCAAUAUUUUAAAAUAUUUUUUACCUAUUGAACCAAGGAAAACAUUUUUCUCUCUAAGACAUCAAAUACCCACGAAUAUACGGUAAGACAAUAAGUUAUCUAAAUAUUGAAAUAAAGUGUUCGUUUUCUAUUAACGCCUUCUCAAUAAAAAUACUAUAGUGAAAUAUGCGAAUUCUUAUUUCAACAGUUGACAUUGACCCUCACCUUGCCCCUUUUUCAAGUAAACAAUAUUGGAGCAUAACCUAAUAUGAUUCAACAUCCAAGCAUCAAAAUACUUUCCUGUCUGACAAACUUAAAUCUCCAAAAAGUAAUAUUUUGAGCCAUUGUAGAUCGAUUGCUCUUCAAAUUAUAUAAAAAAAUCAUACCCAAACUCCAAAGUACGUGCUACGAGACUUCAAAUAAUCGCCUGGGAUGACAACUGAAUCAUUAACACACUACCAUCUUAAAUAAGAUUGAUAUCUAUGGAAAAAGAGGAGGAAAUUAUUUACAAAUGAUAAUCGAACCUCCAAGAAUAUAUUCAUAAGAUUAAGCUUGGAUUUUGCAAGUUCUAAGAAGUGGAAAUAUAUGGGUAUAUGGUUGUAUUUGAGUAUUCUGUCCCAGUAACCCUAACUAUGGGCUAGUCUGCAGCUCUAGUUUUAUUAUUACAGGUCCAGGCUUUUAUAAAAAAAUUGGUUUGACUUGAACUAAAACAAGCCUGUUAGCAGCCUUAGUUCCAAGAAGUUCAAGAAAAAGGUAAAUUUUCACAAUGUGACUGACUUUUUGAGAUUUGUAAGGGGACUUUUGGAAAAGCAAAAGAAGAAAGAUUUAUGGAUUAAAUUGAGCUUCUCAGAGCCUAUAUUUGCAAGAUUUGUGGUCAGUUUGCAAAGGUUGAGUUAAGAUCAUAGAAAAUUGGAACUAUAGGAGUUAAAUUGUCACAAACUAUAGAAUGAUGUAAUGCAUUCCUAACAUGAUGCGAAUCAUUAAUUAAAAAAAAUCUGUUUCUUGAUUUUUAUAAUAUUCUUAUAGCUUCAACCUGAAAUCAGAAGAAAAAAAAAAUACUACAAAAGGUCAUAAUCUGUACAGUAUACUUUGAUUGACUUGUUCUUUUCCUUUUCUUAGUAUUCUUUUAAUUUGAUGAAGACUGUAUAGACGCAUACAAUAAAAAUCUGAGGAGGCUUGAAUAGGAGAGGUAUUCAGAAUCUUUGUUGAAGAGUUAAUAAGAUGGGGAGAAUCAAGGUAACAUGGAUGGAACUUAUGAGAAAGGAUUUGGAGAAGUUUGCAAUACCAAUAAAGGUAGCACUUAAUAAGAAUGAUUGGGAAAUGGGCAUUCGGAAAGCUGACACCAAUUAGUUAGGAAAAAGCCUGAUGAAUAUGGUUAUAUAUUUAAUUAAGAAGUUAACACUGCUUUUCAGCCCAACCUAGACCAAGAUCCCCACAGUAAUUACUAAAGAAAAUUCUAUUCUACCCAAAUAAAACCAAACUUGAAACAAAAUUCUAACUAAAAGUAAGUGAAGAAAUAAUAGAAAAGAAAGGAGAGAAAGAAACUCUGUUGGGAAUGAUUAAUCUUGCAGUAGUAUUUGCUUAUAUCAGAUAAAUGUGGCUGGCAGUUUAAUAGUAAAAAGUUUAUAAAAGAAUUAUAAAUCAGUCUUUGCACGAUGAUUGGUCCAUUAUAUUAGAUGAAACCACUUAUAAAAAUCUCCCUCCAGUUGGUUUGGAGAUAUUUAUCAUAAUUAACUUGACAUCAAAUUCUUUAAAGCUGGCACCACUAAAUUUUUUGGUCAAAAUCAGACCAAAUUUUAAACAAAUAACAGUAGUCUUCAACUCCUUGCUUUAGAAUAGAAGCAGAAUUUUUUUAAAAAAUAUUGCAGCCACCAAUAUAUUCUGCACUUUCCUUCUUAUCCUCAAAAUUCUACUUCUUCUCCACAGUUUCCCUUAUUGCUGCAAUCAGCUUUAUUAAAUAUUUCAGAACGGAUAUGAAACUUGAGAUCUGCCACAUGCCCCAAAAAUUGUCAGCAUCUAGAUGGUCACGUCAUUUCCCCAGAGGAGUAUGCAGUAAAUUAGAAACUUCGUAGGUGCCUUACAAAUGCUAGCACAUCCCUUGAGGUUCCCAAUACAUAGAGAUGCCUAAAAAAAUUCCUUAACUACCCCUGGACCGAUAUUUGCCAUCUUCCCAAUUGAUACAUUCCAGCUGUCCCAUAGGCUUAUGCAGUGAAUUAAUUUCAAGAGGUGCAUUACAAAUGCCAGCAGGCCAUGCACAUCUCUUUAACUUCUCGAAAUGUGGAUCAACCUAUAAAAACUCCUCAAUUAUCUCUAGCCUAAAGCUUGCCAUCUCUUGAAUUGGUAUAUUCGAUCUAGCUUUGCCUGUUCCUUUAGCACCCUGAAUGGGGCCUUGAACCCAACUUCAUAUUUUGGUUAACUAACAUGUCAUCCACUUCAUAAACCCACCAAGUCUCCUAGAUAAUUCAUAAAAGCUUUUUUUCCCGAGUUACCCCUCCAUGUCGUCAUUUCCCUGAUAAAGCUGAUCGAAUCUUGUAAAUAGGAUCUCCGAGUAACCAUGUGAAGAGCCUCCCAGUUUGUAAGGCCUUCAUAUAAUUCCACCAAAUGUGCAGUCUUCUUCAAGUUAGUAAUUGAAGACUGCACAAUUUGUUAUUCUGAUAACUAAUGACAAGAGAAGAAAUAGUUAGGAAAAAUGGAAAACCAAAUAAAGGAAAUUCCAAGUUUAUCUCACCAUUGAACUUUGGCCCCUUUAAAUCCACAUUCUUUUCAGUUGCAAACUACUAUUUUAAUGAAAAAACUGCAACAAAAGGAUUCACCCCAAAAGACCUGUUUGCUGUCCAAAAUUUUUGGAAGGAUGCAGAUCGCUAUCAGUGCCCUUUAAAUCCACUGCCUCACUCUCCAUGGACAUUAAUCCUCUUGGUUGCUGUCCUCUUCAUCAAACCACUGUUAUGUUGUCCAGGGCAUGAACUUUUUACAUAUUGACACCCCAUGGACAAGAAAAUCAGCACUUAAUUGCCUACCAACUCCACAGAAUGUGCCAUCAUCAAGUUGCAACAUAUGCUUUUACAUAUCAGAAAACUGCACUCCUUUGUCUGAAAAAUCAGUACGUUUUCAAAAAAGGUAGGAAUAGGCCGCUCGUCCAACUCCCAAAAUGAAUUGAAGCCACUUUUCUUUCUCAAAAUCAGAAAAAGUCAAAAUUUAAUUUUUUGUUGUCCUUUUCCUUUAAAUAAGUGAUGAGAUCAUCAAACCUUACCAGUAGGUCGUCUAUGCACUUUGUUUCCUCAUCAAAUUGCAAUCUUUGACCAGUUCUGCAACAUGUUGAAACAUCAUAGUACAUAUUUAUUGCCAUAUCACAGAACAUGGAUCUAGUUAUCCUGAACCUGACCAUGAUGCUAUUACAACAAGGUAAUAUCAAACAGUUUCUAGUUUCCAAAUCCAAUUAAUCUCAAGUUUUGCUUUAGCUCUGAAAUGAAAUAUGCAGCAUGCCUGAAAAAAAUUCAGGUUGCAUACAAAUUCCUAACUACAAGGUCAAUUACAAUACCUAUAGGGCGAACAUGAACCCAUUGUUGAAAGAAGCUUAUAGAUGAUGAAAACGAUUGAGCGAAAAAAAAUAAAAGUAAAUGCACAAAAGAUCACAUCGACUUAUGCAUCUCCUAACUCAUGAAAUAGAUCCAAAAAAAUAUUAGCAACGAGGAGAUAUGGUUCAAUGUGCGCAUUUAAAAGGUUAUUGUUAUUAUGAAUGCCUAUGGAUAUACAAGGUCUGCCAUACCGACUGAACCACAUCGUAUUAGUAAGGUACCAGCAUGGUAUUGAGGUUUGGUUCAAUAUAUAAGCCGAACCAGUUCAUACCACUCCGAACCUAACAGAACCAACCCAUACUGCCUAGUUUCGAGAAGUACCAUAACUAGGAGUAAAAGAAGUGUUGAAAGUCUGACUCGGUACAAGAUGCAUAUCAUAUCGUAUGACCGUCCCAUACUGAAUCCGUAGCAUAUACUGAUACAGUUUUCGGUAUUGGUAAUGUGGCUCAUCAAGGAAGUAGCCUAUUGGUGAUUGCAAAAUAAGCUCGAAACAAUGAGAGGAACUGCGUAAGAAUAUGUUAUAAGCACUCAAACUCAAAGAGUAUGGAAAUUGCUAACGAAUAAUAAAGUAAGAACCACAAGUUAUGGGAAGAUCUUGAACCUUGGGAUGUGCAUUCAGAAUAAGCACAAGUUCAUGCCACUGGGAUGAAAAAUAACCUGUCAAAAAGAAACUAUAAUGCAUGAAUUGUGGGAAGAUGUCGUACCUUGGGAUGUGCAUUCAGAAUAAACACAAGUUCACGGCACUGGAUGAAAAAAUAACCUGUCAAAAGAUGAAGACUACAGGCAACAAGCGCGGAAUGCAGAACAGGGGAACUUCCGAUAUGUUUGUCCUAGUUCAAAAAAUCACAGAAAAAAGUUACAAAAAAACCACUGCAAUUGGCAGUAGUGGUGAGGAGGCGAGUGGAGAAAGCUGAACCUGCUUGCGAUGAGCAAGAACAAUUAAGAUAUAGAAUACCAGAUCCAGUAUUUGUUCAGACAGCUUUACAUCAUCAAGUAGAAUCUGGAAGAACAGAUAUUAGAAAAGAUCAUUUUUUCCAAGAAAUUUUAUUUAAGCAUGAUAAAAUUAAUUAAAGGAAAUGUAAACACCAAUAUAAGCGUUAGAUUGCAAAACAUCUAGUAGCCCCACUCCACAGCAGCAGGAACCCAUUAGAUGGCUGCAGAAUAUCCAAAUUGCUAAAAGUAAAACACAAAGCUCCUAAUUUUGACCUAUAUUUAGAGAUAAACAUGUAGGUCAUACAAUAAUUAUAACAACUUCAGUUCUGGUGAUUAUAUAUAUAUAUAUAUAUAUAUAUAUAUAUAUAUAUANNNNNNNNNNNNNNNNNNNNNNNNNNNNNNNNNNNNNNNNNNNNNNNNNNNNNNNNNNNNNNNNNNNNNNNNNNNNNNNNNNNNNNNNNNNNNUAGACCUUCUAUUCAGCUGGUAGUAACAGAGAAUAUUUUUGGAUUGUGGAUAAUGCCGGACCAAGGAAACCUAUUUUUAACAAUAUGACAAUCAAACAGCGCAAAACCCUUGUUCAAGGAUUGGGAGCAACAGAAUAAUCAUGGAAAAUGUUGCACUUCCCAUGAAUACAGCGAAUUUGCUGUUUCAUACAUAAAAAGAAAGGGUACCACAAAUGGUGGACCUAGCAACCUACCUCAAUCAACAAAAACAAAAGGAGGUUGAACAGCAAAUUGCUGCAAGAGAAAAUCUCUCUUCCACAUCAUCGUCGAAACCGACAAUGAAAGAAGUGCUUCAAGAAAAUACUAUUGACACUUCGUUCUUGCAAAAUAGUUGCGAGCAAAUUAUUAUGCACCUGGGUCAAAGUGAUAUUCAGCAAAUGGACGACCCAUGGUUCAUACGUCAAAAAUAUUUUGACGAAGAAGAAUAUCCUUCCAUGGAUGGAAAAACAGACAGAUGAUGGAGAAAUUAUUGCUACUCACUGAUUCUGUAGAAAUUAAUCAUAAUUUCCAUAACAAUAAUAUGAAUAAUUAUAUAAAUUAUAGUAAAUCUACUAUUUGCAGGAUCAUCCAACCGCAGGAGUGGGGACUUAACCACAACAAGCCAACAAUGAUCAAAAAAUAUAGCCAUGUAGUCACAGCAAGAUACUGGGACUAUGUGAGCGCAUUUACUAACAUGUUUUAUUAUGAAAAUCCAAGAGAAAACACUCUUGAUUUUUAGAGGUACAUCCUGAUGUCUUGGCCAAGCCUAUUCUAGGCUGGUUCAACCAAUGGUGGACGUUCUUCGGCCCCGACAUAAAAAUACUACCUAAAGAAUUAAUUAAUCUAUUUGAAGAAUGGGUAAAUAACCAUCCAACCAUCAACAAAAUGACAGAUGACCAAAUCUGUUCUGGCACUUGCCCAAUGCUCUACUUCAUCGAGAACAGAAUUCCAUAGAUAUGGAAAUGGACUCUCUCCACUGGAUUUGGCAGGAACAAUAUUCCUGUAUUGAAAAGAAAUGCCCUCUACAAAUGGUGGAUUGGUAUGCCUAAAGAAAAAAUAGAUGGUAUAAUUACUACCAUAAAAGACAAUCUUACUGUUUACAAGAAGAAAAAAGUGUUUAGUUCUCCUCAACAAUCAAGCACCAAUGAUGACAAUUUCUUUAUGUCAAUUAAACAUAAAUUGAGUAGGAGAUAUCCAAAAUGCCUAGAAAAAAUUAAGAAUGAGUUCUUUGAAGCUUUUGAAGAUCAAUCCAUAAAAUCAACCUCAUCAAGACAUUCGUCUUCUGAUACUCCUGAAGAUGCAAGCAACACUUAUGUAUGCCCAACAGGAGAAUUACAGGAUCCAUAUGAAGAAGAGGUCCAGAAUACUCCAACUCCAAUGGAAAAAAUGUGGUAAACAGUUUUUGCCACCAGAUCUAGAAAAGGUGCAGUACAAAUUGUCCCUGGUAAAGGCAAAGAACCAGCAACAUCAGAGUAAAGAAUCUUACUGGUACUGACAAGAUAAUCCACUUGCCAGAAGAAAAGACAUCCCCAUGAAGGAAAUGUCACUUCACAGACAGAAGAAAUCUACUUUUCAAAAGUGACCCAAUCAGCAGAAGGAAUCUCCUUUAAGUCACUUUCAGCUUUUAUAAAGCAGCUUUAGUCACUUUCAGCUUUUGUAAAGUUACUUUAGUCACUUUCAACUUUUUAUAAAGUAGUUUUAGCUUUAUGUCAUGUCAUGUCUAAAGUAGCUUUGUGUCCGAUCAUGCUAUGUCUGCCAUGAUCGACUGAUGUUUUCGGACUCCAAAAUAGAUUGGAAUCCACUUCUUUGUGUUCUAUCUAUAAAAGGGAAGGCCCUCACCCUUGUUGAGGCAUGCUUUUGAAAACCGAAAAUAAAAUCCUUUGUUUCUCCCAUUCUCUCUUGUUCAUACUUUCCGCUCAAGAUCCUCUGCUCUCUCUCUCCCACUCCUAGGCCAGUUUGUACGCAACUACUAUCUGUAAGGGUAUUAGGCCAAGGCAUAAGCGCCGAGGAAAAGCCUUGGUAAGCCAACCUUACAGUAGUAGGGAACUGAGCAUAGCCAGAAUGGCUGGCUAAGCUGCUGGUGACGGAAGUAUAUGGAGGUAUAAUGUUUAGACCUUAGAAGUUCUUAUUUUAUAUUUUCCUUUCAAUUAUUAGACUUCAGAUAUUUACAAUGUCUUGAGAAUUUAAUCUCAUGUCGAUAAUAUACUAUGGCUGAGCAAUGGUCCGUAGGAAGGCCAUGCUUGCCCGUUAAUGCCGGGAGGGCGAGAAAGGGCAUUUAGGCCGCAUCUGUGAGGGACUUAUAGAUUAAAGCUCAGAAAUAGUAUAGAGUCUGGCAAGAUAGAUAGGAUCGUAAGACAGAGUCCUGUAAUAGGAUAAAUAUUUAGAGUCUAAUAGUUGAUGGAAAAUUAUAAAAUGAAAACAUCUAAGACCGAUAACAUUAUAAAUUCAUAUACCUAAGUCAUCAUCCAAGCCACACCCAUGGAAACUACUUAUUUUUCGGUUUUCAAAAGCAUGCCUCAACAAGGGUGAGGGGCUUCCCUUUUAUAGACACAACACAAAGAAGUGGAUUCCAAUCUAUUGUGGAGUCCGAAAAUAUCAGUCGAUCAUGGCAGACAUAGCAUGAUCUGACACAAAGCUACUUUAGACAUGACAUGACAUAAAGCUAAAGCUACUUUACAAAAAGCUGAAAAUGACUAAAGUAACUUUAUAAAAGCUGAAAGUGACUAAAGCUGCUUUAUAAAAGCUGAAAGUAACUUAAAGAAGAUUCCUUCUGCUGAUUGGGUCACUUUUGAAAAGUAGAUUCCUUCUGUCUGUGAAGUGACAUUACUUCACGGGAAUGUUUUUUCCUCUGGCAAGUGGAUUAUCUUGUCAGAAACAAUAAGAUUCUUUACUCUGAUGUUGCUAGUUCUUUGCCUUUACCAGCGACAGUUUUUAUUGCACCAUUUCGAGGUCUAGUGGCAAGAACUAUCUGCCACAUUUCUUUCAUUGGAGUUGGAGUAUUCUGGACCUCUUCUUCAUAUGGAUCCUGUGAUUCUCCUGCUGGGCAUACAUAAGUGUUGCUUGCAUCUUCAAGAGUAUCAGAAGACGAAUGUCUUGAUGAGGUUGAUUUCAUGAAUUGAUCUUCAAAAGCUUCAAAGAACUCUUUCUUAAUUUUUUCUAGGCAUUUUGCCUUGACUUCUUCUUUAGAGAUGUUUGGAUAUCUCCUGCUCAAUUUAUGUUUAAUUGACAUAAAUAAAUUGUCAUCAUUGGUGCUUGAUUGUUGAGGAGAACCAAACACUUUUUUCUCUUUAUAAAUAGUAAGAUUGUCUUUUAUGGUAGUAAUUAUACCAUCUAAUUUCUCUUUAGGCAUACCAACCCACCAUUUGUAGAGAGGAUUUCUUUUCAAUACAGGAAUAUUGUUCCUGUCAAAUCCAGUGGAGAAAGUCCAUUUCCAUAUCCAUGGAAUUCUAUUCUCGAUGAAGUAGAGCAUUGGGCAAGUGCCAGAACAGAUUUGGUCAUCUGUUAUUUUGUUAAUGGUUGGAUGGUUAUCCACCCAUUUUUCAAAUAGAUUAAUUAAUUCUUUAGGUAGUAUUUUUAUGUCGGGGCCGAAGAACGUCCACCAUUGGUUGAACCAGCCUGGAAUAGGAUUGGCCAAGACAUCAGGAUGUACCUGCAAAAACCAAGAGUGUUUUCUCUUGGGAUUUUCAUAAUAAAACAUGUUAGUAAAUACGCUCACGUAGUCCCAGUAUGUUGGUGUGACUACAUGGCCAUAUUUUUUUAUCAUUGUUGGCUUGUUGGGGUCAAGUCCCCACUCCUACGGUUGAAUGAUCCUGCAAAUAAUACAUUUACCAUAAUUUAUAUAAUUAUUCAUAUUAUUGUUAUGGAAAUUAUGAUUAAUUUCUACAGAAUCAGUGAGGAGCAAUAAUUUCUCCAUCAUCUGUUUGUUCUUUCCAUCCAUGAAAGGAUAUCCUUCUUCGUCAAAAUAUUUUUGACGUAUGAACCAUGGGUCGUCCAUUUGCUGUAUAUCACUUUGACCCAAGUGCAUAAUAAUUUACUCGCAACUAUUUUGCAAAAACGAAGUGUCAAUAGUAUUUUCUUGAAGCACUUUUUUCAUUGUCGGUUUCGACGAUGAUGUGGAAGAGAGAUUUUCUCUUGCAGCAAUUUGCUGUUCAACCUCCUUUUGUUUUUGCUGAUUGAGGUAGGUUGCUAGGUCCACUAUUUGUGGUACCCUUUCUUUUUGUGUAUCAAACAGCAAAUUCGCUGUAUUCAUGGAAGUGCAUUGGAACCGCGUCCUCUGAUUCCUCGAGAAGAAUUUCUUCCUCGAGUAUAUGUUCCUCGAAGAGGAAUCAUCCCUGCAAAAAUUCUCGUGUUAGAAAGUCUGAAAGAGAAUUUUCUUCAGAUUUAAGAUAUUCAAUAUCAAAAUCAAAUACAGACAAUUGUGCCUGCCAUCUUGCAAAUAUUUGCUUGGAUACUAAAUUUUUAAUAUCUUUUUCGAUGAUUUGUUUUGCUGCUGUGCAGUCUAUCCUCAGCAAAAAUUGCUGAUUCAACAAAUCACUCUGAAACUUUAAAAUGCAUUUAACUAUUGAAAGCAUUUUCUUCUUUAUUGUUGAGUACUUACUCUGUGUGGGAUUCCAUUUUCCAGAAGUGUAUCUUACCAAAAUCUCUUUAUUGAGAUUUAGGUCUAAUUGCUUUAAAAUACCACCGAAUCCAAUGUCAGAUUCAUCGAUUUCGACUAUUUUAAACCAAUUAGGGUUAGCUAAUGCUAAACAAGGCAAACACCUUACCUUUGAUUUGAUUUUCUUCACCUGAUUGGUGUGUAGAUUACUCCACGGAGCUGGAAUUUUAUUCAGUCUCUCAUACAAUAUUGCAGUAUCUUCUGCUAAAUUUUUAUAAUAGUCAGAUACAUAAUUUAAACUUUCCAAAAAAACUUUAAAGUUGUUUAGUAUCUGUUAUUUCAUCCGGAAAUUUGGAUGCAAAUUCUAUGCUUCUUUCAAUUGGGAUCAUUUUUUCUUGGGAUAUGUAGUGUCCCAAAAACCUUAUUUUGGUUUGAAACAAACUCAUUUUCUUGGCUGAGAUAACCAAUCCAUUUUUAUGUGCUAGCAUCUUAAAAUGCUUAAGCUGUUUUAUAUGGUCAUCUAUUGUUUUAGAAAAUACUAAAACAUCAUCUAUAUCAACAAUUAUGUUUUCUGUGUCAUUGAAAAUUUCAUUCAUUAUUUUCUGAAAUUCAGAGGGUGCAUUUUUAAGUCCAAAAGGUAUUACAUUCCAUUCGUAAUGUCCAAAUGGUACUGUGAAAGUAGUCUUAUAUCUACCAGAUUCUUUAAUCUGAAUUUGCCAGUAUCCUGACUUUAAAUCAAAUUUUAAAAAGAUUCUUGUUUUAUUUAGUCUAUCUAACAAAUCUUUUUUAUUUGGUAAUGGAUAUCUUAUCCAUUUUAAUACUUUAUUCAAAGGUUUAUAGUUGAUUACUAAUCUUGGAUUUCCUCUUUCUUUUUCUGCAUUUUUGUUAACAUAAAAAGCAGUACAACUCCAGGGAGAAUAAGAUUUUCUUAUCAAUCCUCUAUUCAGGAGUGUUUCUAUUUCAUUUUUGCAGAGUUUAAGAUACUUUUGAUUCAUUUGUGUUGGUCUAGCCUUAGUGGGAAUAUUUUUCUCAUCAAACGACUCUUCGUAUGGUAGGCUAAGCUGAUGCUUUUUCUAUUCCAAAAAGCAUUGGGGAGGUCAUCACAAACUUCUUCUUUACAUUAUUUUUCUAAGCUUUUUAUUUUUUCUAGAUUAUUAGGUUCUUUUAGUUUUUUUUCCUCAAUAUCAUAGAUAUUUACUUCUUGAAGUUUAAUUGAUUUUUCUUUUUUAUAAGGAUAUCUUUGAUCUCAUUGAUCAGCUUGGUUUGCAGAUCUGUUAUAAAUAGGAAUACUAAUUGUUUUCCUUGUUUCUCUGUAUAGAUUCCAGAGCUAUCUAUCUUAGCAUUAUAUCAUUAAGGAAUGGAGUUCCUAAAAUGAUAUUUUGUGUUAAAUUUUUAACUAAGAUAAAAGAUGUUUUAAUGCAAACAUCUUGGUUGCAUAUAUAUGCUUCAGGUAUUUUAUACUUGAUUGCAAGUUUAUUACCUCCAGCUGCAGUUAAUGUCUGCACUGUUUUCUCAAAAUAUGUUGUAGGGAUCAUUCCCUCUUGAAUGCAGUUUAAAUCAGCACCGCUAUCUAUCAAUGCUAUUGCAUUUUCUAGUACAAAAGUUUUGUUUAUUACUAGGGUGAUUUUUAUAUACCACUUUUGGUAUGUUACUUGGUUUAAUAUAUUUAGGUAUUCAGGAAGACCAUCUGUUUUCUGAAUUAUGAUUUUUUCUUUGUCUUUCUGGUCUAUAGGAAAUUCCUUAGACUCUUUUUGACUAGUUUCUAGGCUGGUUAUUCUAGCACUAAAUUUUCUAUUCUCUUGUUUUAACAUAGAUAUUUCUAUCUUUAAUUGAUUUGUUUCAUACUUCAGGUCUGUUAGUGAAGCUGGUUUCUCUUUUAUUUGAGAAUUGUGAACCCUAUUUAUUACUUCACUAAAUUGAUAUCCUGGACUAGGUAGUACUAGUCUAGGUGACUCAAUGUUGUUUGGGUUCUUUUCUAGUAAGAACUCUAACAAUUGUUUUUUAGUAUGUUUAUCUGUAAUAUUAUCUAAGAUUUUUAAUAUUUCUUCUUGACUGUUUGUCAAGACAUUUAAUGAUUUCAUUUUAACUAAAGAUUUCCAGUAAUCUUUGUUACCUUGUACAGUGUUACAUUAAUACUGAUCUGAAUCUGCUUCGGAUUCAGAUGAAGUUGAAGAAAUGAUUUCAUUUAUUUCUUCCUCUGAUGAAUCUGGGUAUUCAGAUUCUUCUUCCGAAGAUGAAGUCAACAUUAACUUCAUCAGUUGUUCUUUCAACUGAUAAUCAACUUGUAAUUCGUUGAUCUUUCUUCUCAUUGAGCAUCUAUUCGCAUAGUGCCCAAACCUACCACAUCUGUAACAUUUUGGAUCUUCUCUUAUUAUUCUUUUCUUUUUCUUCUUUUUAACAGCAUAUUUUUCUUGUUGUUGUCUUCUUUUAAGAUAUCUUCUUUGUUUAUAUUUUUUAUACUCUUUACGAGGUGUUUUGUGUACAUAUUUUUUGUACCUUCUCUUCUUUUAUACUAAACCUUCUGGUUUAUCUUGCAUGUCAUAUGCAAACUGAUGACAGAAUUCACCUAGUUGCUGUUUUUCUGUUAACUUUUACUUUUUUAAUUGUUUUUCUAAGUUUAAAUCAUUACAUAGGUUUAAUCCUUCUUGGACACGUGGCUAUUAUUUCUCCAUAUGUGAGUUUAUCAUAUUUGAUAAAGAUUCCAUCUUCUCUAUCUCUUAGGACUUUCCUAACUUUUUCAGCAAAUAAAUAUGGUAAUCCAUCUAUGAAUUUAGAUUUCCAUAUUUCACUACUAGGGUUUGGUAUUUGCAUUACCCUGGUUAAGAAUAUAUCUUUAUACCAUCUAAAAUGUGUCAAAGUUGGACACCUUAAAUUUAAUAGGAGAGUUUUUAUUCUUUCUCCAUCUUUUAAUUUUAUUCAUACAAAGUGUUUUAUAAUUACAACACACAGUGUAUAUACUACAUCUUGCUCAGUAUCUGUUCUUGAAACAACACUGGAAGUUGGUCGAUCUAUCUCUAUUUUUAUUGUUUUUAUAUGACCUAAGAUUUCAUUUCUUUGGUCCUCGGUAAGAUAUUUUUGCCACCAUCCUUGUAAUUGCCCUAUAAAUCCUGUUACAAUAAAUUUGGCAAUUUUAUGGUCCGUAUUACCAUUUUGACGGCAUAUGGUUGAAUACAUCAUUAUUCUAUGUAUUAUAUCCAAAAUUUGUUUAUCACUCAUUCUAUCUAUGUUCCAUUCAUAGAUGUGUUUUCCAGAAUAAGAGUUCUGAAAUGGUUCCUUUUCUUCAUCCAAAAUAUCUAAUGGUGAAGGUCUUUCGUAAUAAUAUUUUUCCAAUGGUCUAGGUUCAUACCUAAUUGGAUUAAUUUUUGAUAAUUGGGUUUCAAACUUAUCUAAGUUUGGUUCCACCAUACUUAUCUAAUGAUUCUUCAUCAGGCUCAAUUUGAAGAUUUUCACCAAGCAUUUUGACUAUGUUAUAUAUGUCUUCUAGGGUACUUUCCUCAGAUUCUUCGCUAUCAGGGUUAGUCCUAGAAUUUCCACUGACUACUCCGAUAUGCAUUCUUUUUAAUUUUUCUUCUAAUAUUUUUAUGAACUCUUCAUUGGGUUUUCUAAUUUGAAGUUUUUUUACUUCUGGUGGAGGCUGAAUAACAGGAGCUAUUACUUCCUUAUUCUUUUCCUCAGAUUUUUCUCUAAUGUUUGAUAGAGUCUGAAUUUCUUUUUUUAGGUCCUUUUGCAUUUCUGAUAAUUUUAAUUCUAAUUGAAUUAAGUUUGUUCCUAUGCAAUAUAGAUAUGCAUUUGUAUAGUUUUGUGCUCUAAUUAGAGUAUUAAGUUCUCUAAUUAUUAUAUGAGCAUUUUCCAUCUUACUCAGAUUAGAGUAAGCCAUUGCUUCGGUUUGCUGAAGCUUAAACAAUUCUUGUGGAGGAAAAGGUGAAUUUAUUUCCUCAUUUUGAGUAGUUUUCCAUAUUCUUUGAAUAACUGCUAUAUUCGGACAACGAAGCGAAUAGGCCCGAUGCGUUUCUUGGUCUUUCUCUUUUGCAUAAAAUUCUAAAAACCAAGGAGUAAAAUAUUCUAUCUUUUGAUAGGCUUCUAAUUCUUCAUAAUAUUUAUUUUUAUAAUACAUUAUUUCUAAUGGAGAAAAUUUCUCAAAAUACCAAAGUCUAAAAGGUUUAUUUCCUUCAGACUAGAACUCUUCAUUAAGAGUUCUUCUGUUUAAUUUUAAAUCAUUAUAUAGAUUUAAUCCUUCUUGGACACAUGUGGCUAUUAUUUCUCCAUAUGUGAGUUUAUCAUAUUUGAUAGAGAUUCCAUCUUCUCUAUCUUAGGACCUUCCUAACUUUUUCAACAAAUAAAUAUGGCAAUCCAUCUAUGAAUUUAGAUUUCCAUAUUUCACUACUAGGGUUUGGUAUUUGCAUUACCCUAGUUAAGAAGGUAUCUUUACACCAUCUAAAAUGUGUCAAAGUUCGACACCUUAAAUUUAAUAGGAGAGUUUUUAUUCCUUCUCCAUCUUUUAAUUUUAUUCCUACAAAGUGUUUUAUAAUUGCAACACACAGUGUAUAUACUGCAUCUUGCUCAGUAUCUGUUCCUGAAACAGCACUGGAAGUUAGUCGAUCUAUCUCUAUUUUUAUUGUUUUUAUAUGACCUAAGAUUUCAUUUCUUUGGUCCUCAGUAAGAUAUUUUUGCCACCAUCCUUGUAAUUGCCCUAUAAAUCCUGUUACAAUAAAUUUGGCAAUUUCAUGGUCCGUAUUACCAUUUUGACGGCAUAUGGUUGAAUACAUCAUUAUUCUAUGUAUUAUAUCCAAAAUUUGUUUAUCACUCAUUCCAUCUAUGUUCCAUUCAUAGAUGUGUUUUCCAGAAUAAGAGUUCUAAAAUGGUUCCUUUUCUUCAUCCAAAAUAUCUAAUGGUGAAGGUCUUUUGUAAUAAUAUUUUUCCAACGGUCCAGAUUCAUACCUAAUUGGAUUAAUUUCUGAUAAUUGGGUUUCAAACUUAUCUAAGUUUGGUUCCCCAUCUUCUGAUGAGAGUUGCUAAACUGGUUUGUCUCUCCAUAUUAAUUUAUUAAUGUGUAAGAAUUAGCAAACCAGCUAAAGAACAUGGGAAACCAGUUAUCUAGACAAUUACUAUAUAAUUCUAAUCUGAUGGUUGACUCCAAUAUUGUUCCCCAUGCUUUCCACAAAUGCUCACCAUCUAUUAAAACCAUUUGUAUUUAUAGGAGUAUUACUAAAUGGUAUUCCAAAAAGCCUUUUUCUGCAGGAUCAUCUCUUUCAAAUUAACUGAAUGCAGACACCACCAAUGCAUUUGGAGACUCUACUCUUCAAUAUAACACUACUACUGGGACAGCUUGCAGACUCUAAAGCUUGCCACAUCAGAAUAUAUAACCACGAACCAGCUAAUUGGUUGGCAAAUGCAGCAAGAGAGAAGAGAUGGCAAUGUGUACAAUAUCCUUUUGAUCCGCUUCCUUUAAGCUUAACAGACUCACUAGAGCUGACUGUGUUGUAAAAUUUUUGAACCAUUAGUUAUAAAUACCUAUGGGCCUUUUCCUAGCACUGAAAAAGAAAGCAAAAGAAAAGAGCAGAAGACACCAUCCUUCAACAAUACUCCCACCCUCAUUAUAGGAAAAAAUUGGACUAGUUUAUAUGUCCAAUAGCAUGCUGGCUACUGCUAAAGCACCCAAAAAUAUACAGAGAAUGUCUCCUAGAAGAUCCUAAGCAUCAAAAUGGAAGUCCAGUCAAAGAGAUUUAUGAUGUGAUUGGUUACCAAUAAUUACAAUGACAGAUGCAGUUAGGUACUAUACUAAAAUUCCCGACAUGUAGGAUUUGUUAGCAAUGCUUAACCAUAUAGUAAGUUCUUUAUAAUCCAGAGCUUAACAUAUUAGGCAUGACAUCCAUCUUUAAGAAAAACAUAUAGUAAAACAUAUACAAUCAUCUGCAUAAACAGACUGCAAUACAUCAAUUAAUUACUCUCAAGCACAAUUGUUCUCAAAAAACAAAAUAAACGGACAAAAAGAAACCAAAUUAUAAACAGAUCAUGCAAUAAAUAUACACGGUACUUCUUAUGUUUGAUCUGUUUUCGUAAGAAUUCUUAAGAAAGGAUGAGAUUAUGCAAGGAUGAAAACCUGCUCAAGUCUAGCAUGGCGAAUUGCCAGAUCAGACAAUGUAUGCAAAAGCCUGACACCACGAAGCACAUGUCCCAUGUGCAUAUCCCUAUCAGGUGACAAAAGUACAGCAAUUAGGUGCAGAGGGAGAGAAGACGCAAGUCUUUCCAUAUCAAUCUGAAACCAAAAGCAAUGUCAGGAAGAAAAGUUUGAAUAUAAAAUUUUCAUGAAAUAAAGUGAGGAGAAAAUUACCUGCCUCAGAGAUCCCUUUACUGUCUUGAAUUGUAUGGUGAAAUUAUCAGAUUCUUUCAACGACUUAUUGAGUUCUCUAGAAGCAAGUCCAUUUAACUCUCUAACAGCUGCGAUUAAGUCAAAGAUCUGUCCAGAAAAUAGUGAGGGUUGUCAGGUUAAUAAUUGUUCCAGGCAGCUAACUAGACCAUCACGAAGGUCUAUCAGAGACAGAGUAAUAGCAUUUUUGCAACAAGCAUAAAUAUAUUCCCUUUAUAUUUCAAGUGAAAUGAUCAAAAACUGUACUCACUACCAAAUGAUAAAAUAAGUGGCCUGCCUUCACAGUUUCAGAAAUAUUUCAUUGUUUAUAACAAGAAUUCGUAUAUAAUUACUUUGAUGCCAAAGAAAAAAGGGGAGAAGAAAGAGAACUCAUAUAUAUAAAUUUUGAGGUACUAAAAAGAUCUUAUAUCCCAGCAGCAAUGAGCUCCAAAACAUGAAAGGUUGGCCAAUGGUUUUCAAUAAUAAGCUGGGUAUCCUGCAAAUUAUUUUGGUAUAAGACAAUCUUGCAGGUGAGUGACCAUUUUGCAGCCCAUUUGGUAAACAAAGUUCAAAGCAAACUACAUGAGAAAGGAACUUGAGCUCGAGUACAAAUUUCAGAUUUGAUUUCACAGUGAUUCCUCCAAUUAGUUAGAUAACCUUCAACAAGUUAAAUUUUUCACAUUUUGUGUUAGCUGCCAUUACAUAAAUUAGGCUCUUCAGUGCAAAUUAGUAGCAGAUUAUACUGUUAAUAAGAAAAUCAAAGAGUGGAUGUCAAGUUAUAGAAUCAUGCUCUCUUAGGAACUCAUAAAAACUAUUCGGCCAUAUACAUAAUAGCGGAUCUAACAACCAUUUGGAAAUUUGUAAACCCUAUACAUCACAUGAUCCAAUAUGAUCAUUCAAAACUAUAAACAUAUAUUCUCAAAAAUCACUUCUGACCUAUUUUCAAUCAACAAAUUAGUUGAACUAAAAUAAGCAAGUGGAAUGCAGCUUUUGUGGUUUGCUUAUUCCUAGCAAGCAGAUGGAGUGAGUAACAAGUAAUUUCGUAACCGAUUGCUUUUGCUGCCUCAAUUACAUUGUACAAAAAGGACAAAAGAAAACAAAAAAUGACAUAAAGAGGUCUAAAACUAAGCUUGUAAAGUGGAGGUACGCCUUUAUGGGACUAUGCAAUAAUUGAAUUCCAUAAAAACUUGCAGUUUCUAAAACCAAUCUUUUUUCACGAAUUGGAAUGUUAAGUCAUAAGAGACUAAUUGAGCAUAAUAAGGGCAUAGUGGAGUUUGUCAAAUUCCAUGUAGCUUAUAUUUCUUCAGGGUUUUCAGAGUGUAGAUAGUUGGACACUUCAUACGAGAAUCUGACACAGAAGACAAUCCUUAGCAUCCAAAAUAGAGUGCAUGUUUAUAAAAGCCCAAGAUGCCAAAAACUUAAAAAGAAUUUUUGGGGCAAAUUGUUAAAUCAAAACUGACGUGCAUGAUAAAAACUUCAACUCUCGGAUAUUCCACAAUAUAUCUCCAAAUUUACAAACACUUACUAGCUAAUUGUCAGAAGUUAAUAUAGUUCAUUAAUAGAAUGGAGCUACCAAGGCAUGAUGGUUGUCAAGGAGCAACUAAGAUUAACUAAAAUGGAGUUGGAAGAUUGUGCUUGUGAAUGAUAGUAUGUGUUUCAUCUUAAAUGCAGACACAAAGGUUAAGGUUCUAAUUCUGGCCUAUGUGCAGUUAGGCAAUGGUAUGUGAUACACUAGGGUGAACAGUUGUGGAUGGUGCUUGUAAUGACGAGUUUGUCAUUAUUUUAUGUUUUUUUAAAGAAAUGAAAUUUAGCGGUAAGAUUUCACAUGCAUUGACGGGGGGUUGGGUGAGAGACUUCUCAAGCUAGAUGCAGACUAAAAGCUUAUUACAAGUGCUUCAUUAGGGAAAUGUAUAAACAAGUAGGAAGGCAAUCCGGAGAUAUGGAAAGCAUUAUAAAAGUUAUGUAGGAUAUGAUAUAGUUGGGGUUGUGUGCAGUCUUUUCCGAGUGUUAGAAUUAGGCGACAAAAGAUGAGAGACAAGAGGAUCUAGUUAGCUAGGGGAAUAUUUAGUUUUUUGCUUUGAACCUGUGGACAAAGUGUUGGUCAUGAUGUUUGCUAUGAGUAGAAGUAGAUUUCAGGAGAUAAGAGCAGAAUUGAACAAAGGAGCAGCCAAGUUUUCAAAAACCGCUCAGCAAGUACAUAGUGGUUAAGGAAGUUCAUGGCACGCAGCGGAUGAUGCGCACCAUGGCGGGUGACAUAAGCCAAAGGCAGGCCUUUAAAUUAUAUUAGUUUUUUUGUCAAAGUAACCUAUUCAAUGACAAUGUCAAAUUGUCAAUAAUCAAUAAAUCAAUAAUCAUUAGAGUUUAACUGUGCAUAACCAUAAAUUAAUUGCUUCAUCAGUUGUUUUUUCCUUGUAAUGUUGAAAAAAAAAUAAUUAUACAAGAAUAGAGAAUAAAGAGCAUUGCAACAUAUAACUACUACCAAGAAACAAAGAGCAGAAGCACAGUGGUAGCAGGAAAGUGGGCUUCCUUUAGCUGCCAAGAGAGGAGUGAUGAAAGAGGGAACAUAAGCUUAGAAGAGGGAGGAAAACUAAAAAAUAGGAUAAAGGGGAAAAGACAACUAGCCUUCUCCAAUAGAUAUCAAUGCCUCUCUUCUCCUUCAGUAACCAAAAGAGGAGUAAACAGAAAGAGGCAACAAAAAGCUUUAGAAAAAAACAAGAACAUAGAAUAAUAUUAAGUAGUUGAAUAAUUAUCAAAAGACCAAAGUGGUCUUAUGAAGUAGCAGCACCCUUGACUUGAACAAAAUCGCCUAUCCUUUCUAAACAAAUAGGCCAGCCUACCAUGGGCUUAUGGCAGCUGCCAUGACAUGUUUGGAGCACAUGCCAGCACCAUGGAUGUGGAUGUCAUGUCCGGCAGCCAAGAGCCAUGGCAUGGCCGUGGAGGCUCUAAAGUACCAUGGCAGCCACUGCAGCCUUUCCAAAACACUGGGACCAUCUAUGGUGAUAUUAUGAUAAGAUAUUUUCUUGUCCCCUAAAUUGGGUUGGUAGUGAGUUAGGCUAGAACUCAUGAAGUUUUAUGUAAUGAAGUACAUGUUUGAGGAGAUAGAUUUCAUUACCAUGUUCCGUGAUGUACCAGUAGCUUAUGGAUGGCAUAUUAUUUUUUCAUGGUAAUUUUGUAAGGGUGUCUUUGUGUUUAUGAGUUGGAAACUUGGAAUCAUUGUUUUAAAAGAGAUCAUCUAAACCCGUUAGACAGUCCGCCAGCUGCCCUGCAUAGGGCCAUCCUCCUAAGGAACCCCAGCUAGAAGAGCUACCUGAAUAUCAGGUGCACAAGCAGCUUGUCUAGGCCUUGGCAGCCCGGCAGGUUAGGUGUUGAACUUUUUCAGAAAAGGUUGGGCAUCAAGAUGAAUGCCAUAGUUACAACUUGCAAGUGAUAUUAAUUUUAGAUUAAUUGUCCAUUUCCAAAUUUAAAGACUUGUAUGCAUUAUUCUUCAUUGGUCAAAGACACUUGUUGCAUUAACGUAUGGGUGUCAAUAAGUUGAGCCGGCCUAGUAACUUAUGAAGGACAGAUUGUCCUCUAUAGGGGCUUUGACAGGGUAUAAUAAUCCAUAAACCAGGUGCUGACUUUGUUCUCGGCCCCUUGGGCCAUGAGCUUAUAAAUAAAAAAUAUUAAGCAUUUAAAUAAUUAUAACAUAUAAAUUGGCCUUACGUAUACACCUCCUAAACUGAUUUCUGCAACCAUAUAUCUACCAAAAAGUUAUGGCAGAAUAAUGAAACAGUGGAAGUGCUCACACAAAAAGUGGAGCACAUGCAUAAGUUGGCAGUUCAUGGGGUGCGAGACCUAGCUUCAAUGAUUAUUUAUGAUCCUAAGUUAGGCUUGAUCCUUAAUAAUGAGAUCAGUUUAGGGGCGCAAUCGAGCCAAGUCGAGUUAAGUAGCUAGAGACUCGAGAUCGACUCGAUUCUAAUACCCAGGCUCGAAACUCGACUCGAUAUCGAUCGAGCCUUAAUAUCUAAGCUCAAGCUUGACUUGAUCAAAAAAAAUAUAUAUAUAUUCAGAGAUUGACUCGGCUCGACUCGAAUAUCAACUAAGCCGUACUCAAACUCGAACCUUGGUCAUACUUAAAAAAUAUAGUUAAAACAAAAUAUAACAUAAUAUUAUAUUUUAAAAUAUUAA